rnacentral:lncRNA from 1 species
GCUUAAGCCCCACCAAUCAUUUUUUUUAAUCCUUGUAAAAUCAUCAGUUUAUUGUGGGAAUCUUUGCGUAAAAGCCUCUAUCAUCAACCAGAAUCAUAGGAAUAAUUUUUUUUGGGUUCUGAAUGGUUAGCCUUCCAUGCCAUGGUCACAAAAUUAAUCUCGAGUAAUACCCGACCAACUCAAUCUGGAGCCAAUUUAUUAUUUACUCUGGGGAAACCGAACACUGUUUAGCAUUACUAAUUUCUAAUAUGCUCCAAUUAAUUCGAAACGACGACACAUUAAGCAAAAUUUACAGAAUCCGAUUAAAGAAAUGUGGAAUACACAGGCACACCAUGAUCAUAAAAAUCACAGUAAUCAUCUCAUACAUAGACCAAAUUAAUGUUCUAUAAAUCUCUGAUUUGGAAGUUGAAAAUACAAAAACGAGAUGAUUAAUUAGGCAUCACCAUUUCCAUUUGUGUGAGUCUAUUUGACGGUGACUUUUCCGACCAUGCCGGCCCCUUGGUGAGGCGAGCAGUAGAAGGAGUAGGUUCCCGGCGCCGUCAGCUUCACGGCGUAGGUCUCGCCCUUGGCGUUGAGGAGGUCCUCCUCCGACAUCGAGAUCUUCGCCACGUCCACGCCCGCGGGCACCUCGUCCUCGUCGAACACCACGUUGUGGGGGAACCCCGCGUUGUUCUUGAACACGAUCUCCUCCCCCGCCGCCACCUCGAAGUUCUGGGGAUGAACACCAGCCCGCCGUCGUCGCUCCCCAGCGUCACCUCCAGGGCCAGCGCGUUGCCGGCGAUCACGGCCGUCGCGGCAGUCGCCGCCAUUGCCAGCCCCAAGUCCUUCAGGGACGCCCUCGCGCCGACCCUCGGGGGGGCCAUGCGGACGGCGGCGGGCUUCGCGGCCGAGGCGGCGCCGGCCUUCAGCCCGGUGAAGGAGGGGAUGGCGACGGCGGCGGAGGUGAUGGCGGCCAUUGUUUGAUUUUGAUUUUGGAGUGGGGAUGGUUGAUUUUGAGGGUGGUGGGAAAUCAAGAAAUGGGAAGAGGGGAGAGAGGGGGUUAAAUAUGUGGUGGUGGGUUUAGUGUGUGUGGUGUGUGUUUUGAUGAGGAUAAGGAAUGCAUGGAUGGAGAAGUGGGGUUUAUCUUCAUCUCAUUGGUUGAUUUGGAUAUACUAUCCAAUGAUGUGGGAUUGGAUGUUUUGGGAUGUGAGGUGGGAAAUAAAUUGGGUGGUGUGUGUUGUAGAUUAAUCAAUACUUGUCUCUAUGACUAGGAGUUGUGAUGCUUCCUACCUUUGCUAAAAUUGAAUUUUAUUUUAAGAUUUAGGUAAAUAGAUAAGUGAAGAAUGAGAAGGAAAAAAAAGGGGACAAGUGAAGAAAUACUAAAGUUUAGUAUUUCAUUAGGUUGUGUAUUUGAUCUGAAUUUCGAAUACUAUACAUGUCAUGUGACUGAUAACGACUCAAUAAUACUAUAUGUACAUAGCUAUAACACAUUUUAGUGUGCUAGUAAAAAUGAAAUUGUGCAAAAUUUACUGAAUAUAAUACUACUAUUUUUGUAUUUCAUUUGUAAGAAAGCAUCCAUGUGAUAUUAUGCUAUAACACAUUAUACUAUUGAAAUGAAUAAAUAAAUAAAAAUCUCAACGUACUAAAUGUUUCAUAAUGUUAAAUUACAUUGUUGUACUUAAAUAAGUAUAUAUAAAUGAUAAAGCUCUUUUAGAGGGAGUAGAAAUAGGACUCCUAAAAAUAAGAGGCUACAUUUUGAAAAAAGAAAGAAAGAAAAAAAAGAGCAAUACCUCAGAAUGCACAAAUUAAGAGUGAAGAAAUGCUGAAAUGAAGCAGAAAUAAAUUGAAAGACGAGAAGAAAUAUAUAGGAGGAGAAUAAGCAAAAGCUUUUCCAGUACAAAAGGAGGCAAUAGUGUAGUACUUAGAGGGUGUUUGGCUAAGCUUAUUUUAAAGAGCUUAUAAGCUCUUGGAGCUUAUAAGAUGUUUCAAGAGCUUAUAAAAUGUCAUUUUUAAGAGCUUAUAAGUUGUCAAAGUGUUUGGAUAAUUGAGCUUAUAAGCUAGAGAGAGAAUUUUUUUGCUAGAGAGAGAGAAUUUUUUUUAGAGAGAAAAAAUCGAAGAAAAAUGAACUUAAAUGAUAUAUGAUGAAAGUAAUAAAUUAUAGUUGAAAAAUAUUUGUAAAAAGAUUGUUGCAUAUGAGAUUAUAAAAAAAUAAGUUGGGGUGGAGGAACUUAUUUUUUGGGGAGCUUAUAAGCUCUUGGAGCUUAUUUUUGGAGCUUAUAAGCGGUUGAGGAGCUUAUUUUGCCAAACACUUUGAAGGAGCUUAUAAGCUCUUAAACAGCUUAUAAGCUGUUUUGAAGAGCUUAUAAGCUCAGCCAAACACCCUCUUAGUGGUACAACACACAUACAUCGUUUGCGGUUUUGCUACAAGAAUCGUACAAUUCGAACCACGACAAACAGUGUUAGGCAUUAUUAUUAUUAUUGUUAUUAUUAUAUCAAUAACUAAACCAAAUUAAAUGUGAAAUUUCAUCUGAAUCCCCUCAGGGAAAUCGAACGAGUCAUUGUAUUUACAUUUACAUGAAAUUCUAGAAAAUUACGAAUUAGUGAUAUUAUCUACCUCACAACAAUCCAAAGUUGAAACUAAAUAAACUGACCGAAUCUCGAAUUUUUAUUUGUUUCUUAAUUUCUAUGAUUUUAAAUUAAGAAAAAAAAAAAACCUAGAUUCCUGUGUUGUUUUGUUUGAUUAAUUAAGCUUGAUUAAUUUAAUAUAUAUAUAUAAUAUAUAUAUAUAUAUAUAUAUAUAAAUUACAAUUACAAUUUUUAUAGACCAAGAGAAUAGCAUAUUUUUAUAAUCGUAAUUUUACAAGUGUUCGAGUGUAAUAGUAUACAACGAUGACGAUGAGUACCGUCUUACAAAUCCUAACCGAUCAAAGCCAACUAAUUAUUUUCAACAAAUAUUAAUAACACAAACAAUGAUUCUCUAUCAACACUACUAAGGGGGUGUAUUCGUUGUGGAUUUCCACAGACUUUAAAAAGUCCAUGGAAUUUAAAUUCCAUGGAAUUCACAUAGAUUCCAGACGACUUUCAAAGAAUUCGUGGUUGGAUUUCACCCCGAUUUUCACUGAUUUUCGAAGAAUUUAGGGGAUAAUUCUGGAAUUGAAAUCCAUGAUGCCAACGCCCGCUGAGUCCCAGCACCGCUGGAAACCCAGCGACCGCUGGGAAUCCAGCGAGCGCUGGAAACCCAGCAUAUGUUGGAAUCCAGCAUAUGCUGGAAUCCAGACACGAAGCGCGUAGAGAGAGAGAGAGGCAGAGAAUUCAGACUCGCUCGAAUCCAGCAUAUGUUGGAAUCCAGCAUAUGCUGGAAUCCAGCAUAUGCUGGACUCUCUCAACGGUGGCUGAGUUCCAGCGCUCGCUGGCUUCUUGGCCGCGGGCGCUGGAACUCAGCGCUCGCUUAAAAUUUCAUGGAUUUCAAUUCUCGUGGUUCUUGGCCGGAUUUCGUCGUGUGUAUUUUUUGGAUGAAAUCCAUGAAAGUCAUUCCAGAUUUUAAGUCAAUGGAAUAACGAAUACACCUAGAUUUGUAUGGAUUUUAAAAAGUCUGAAACGAAUACACCCAGAUUUAUAUGGACUUUUAAAAGUCUUAAACGAAUACACCCAGAUUUCUGCAGACUUUUAAAAGUCUGGAACGAAUACACCCAGACUUUUAAAAUCCAUAGAAAUCUAUUAAAAUCCACAACGAAUACACCCCCCUAAAUCACAUCCAAAACAAAUCAAUCUGCAACACCAUUUUCCAAUUCAAAAACAUUCUUGCCAAAUUGAAUGUACAGAGCUUCUAAAUUUCUUAUUUCUUUUUCAGCCAUUAAUUAAGUGGAGAAUGGUGCAAUACCUAAAAUGGGCAUUGGAGAGAAACCAUUGUAUAUAUCAAACACUAAUCUUUACACAUAUAUGCAAUAUUUAUUCUACCAACACCAAGAUCACAUCUACAACCACUAAGUUAUAUAGUCCUAUAAGAUCAAUAGAAUGUACACUAGAAGUUGAGAAUACAAGUCACCUCUCAUAUGAGCGGAAAGAUAUCAUCAUCCUUGCCCUCGUCCAUGUCCAAAAACUUGAAGCUCAUACCAUCAAUAGGGUUCGGAUUGAAGCUCGGAUCAACGUAGCACUUCAUCUCGUGGAACAGAUUCAAAUUGUCCACCAGCUUAUGGAAUACAUUGCAUCCGCAACACUAUUCAAAAACAAGAACAACACCAUAAGUGCACGUUCUUCUCCAAAAUACAGUUAAAACCACUAUGAAUUAACACCAGCAUUGGCCAAAACCUAUUGAUCAGAAGAGGUUUAAACCUUUCAACAAUCAAAUAAGGGGCGUUUACUUUUCAUCACUGUUAAGAUCAGUAUAUAUCUCCAAUUCUUACCGUGAUAUGAAUCAAAAAAAUUAGCUCAAAUGAUAGAAAUUAUACAGAGCCUUAAGAAAUCCCAAAGUUCAAAUCAAUCUUAGUAAACCAUGGAUUAGUCUAUACUAUCUUCAUUUAUCUAGACUAAUCCUUAAAAGUAAACUCCCCUCUUACUCUAUAGAAAUUCUUUCGCAUUAUUUCAGUACUUGAAUUGAAGACAUGAUUAGCUUGUCCAAGAACUUGAACACAAUGAACAAUUAGCUAAGGUGCAUUGAUUUGAGACAUAGUAAAUCAUCAAGCAAAAUCAUGAUUAUAAAAAUGGGGACUUUUUUGCUGCAGCGAUUAAAUUGGGGAUUCAAGAAAUGCAAAAAUUGAUGGUAUAUAUACCUGAACAAAGACGGUGCCGUCGGUAUAGGCAUGUGAGUUGAUCGCCCGUGUGGUGCGCUGGCCACAGACGUUGCACGUGAAUGCCACGCGCAUCCGGCGCCGCGGCGAUUUCGUGAAGAGUGACCAUGGGAAAGUGGAGACACGCUCCAUGCCGGAAUUGUGGCCCGACCCGGUCGGCGAUGAUGGGCCUUCCAUACCCGACCCGGUUGUCCAUCCCCUCACAUUGGCCGCGCUCAGAACCAGCCCCAUCGCCGCAUCCUGCAAAUCCAAGGAUCGAGAAAAUUGAGAUUAAUGAAAAUUGCAGCUAAACUGUUCGACGCAAUUACUGACCCAAAAAUCCCGAUGAUCAACUUCUCCGAUUGACCUAAAUUAACGAUUGGGAGCAGCUAAACUGUUCGACGAAUAUACUGACCCAAUAAUCCCUAUGGUUUCAGUUUCCGAUUGAAUCUCAAUAAUUAUUGGGAAAUUGCAGCUAAACUAUUCGAUAAAAAUACUGACCCAAGAAUCCCUUGAUUUCAACUCCUUCGAUAGAAUCUCAAACUAACGUUGGAAAAUUGCAGCUAAAAACAGUUCGAGGAAAUCACUGACCCAAGAACCCCGUGAUUCAGCUCCUCAGAUUAACGAUUGGGAAAUUGCAGCUAAACUAUUCGACGAAGUAAUGAUCCAAAAAGCACCAUGAUUUCAACUCCUCCGAUCGAAUCUCAGAUUAACGAUUAGGAAAUUGCAGCUAAAGAAGAAAAGCGCGAACAAUACUUACCUUUGAAAGCGUGUGAUUACUCAGGAUGGGAACGAUUCCGGAGGCGGAAGAAUCGGGCUUGAGAUCGGGCUCGCCGUUACCGUUACGGCUAUUUCUAUCACCUUGGGAAACAAAAAACAUCACGAUAUCAAAAUUUCCGAUGGUCGAAAAGGAGAAGAGAAAAGCAAAAGGUGCUGACUUUUGGCGGAGGUGGAGAAGCGCACAAGUCGCCGGGAAGAAGGGUCUCUGAAUUUAUCAGGGGAGAACAUCGGCAGCGUUACUGCGGCGGCGCCGGCGGUUGUGGUGGUGAGGGCCUCCAUUUCCGGUGAAUUUAUGCGUGUAAAAACGCUACUAUGAUUUUCUUUGAGCUGGGAAUUUGUGAGGGAGAAAUCGAAGAUUGAAAAACUGAAAUGAACUGGGUUUGAGAGUUAUAUACAGUGGCGAGGUGACCGAUGGCCGACUUUGUAGAAGAUCGGAGAUUGAAGCUGAUUUUUUGAGAGAUUUUUUGUUACAAUUUUGGAAUAUUGGCAUUGUGAUAGAGACAGGAUUAGUGGAUCUGGGCAAUGUUGGGCUUCAUGGGCUUAAUUUGGGCCUCAUUUGAUGAGAGUGGGAAUUGAGUUCUCCCAACUUCGCAAAUAAAUAAAUAAAUAGUGAUUGAUCAUGGAAAAGUAUUGCUGGUCAGGUUUGGUAGAGUCACUGUCAUAUAAUUGGAAUCCAACGUUAAUUUUUAAGUCAAAAUAUCUUGUGUAUACUUUGAUAGUAACUAGUUUACCUCCCGCGCUAUGCGCGACGAUUAUUGUAUAUACUGUAAAAAUAAUAUUUAAUUAAUAAAUACAAAAAUUAAUUUGUUACCUUCCUUAAAGUAAUAAGUGAAAUAUAAAAAUUAUAGAAAUAUACAUGCAUUGCAUAUAUUUUAUUUCAAAUUUUAUAUUUAAUUUUGGUAAACUUUCUCGUCGUUGAGAAUUAUGUGGUUGAGUGAAACCCACACCCGCAUUGGGCUCGCCCAGCCCGGUCCUCCCUCACAAUCAGCCCUUUUAUCCCUUUCCACCUCGGUCAAUUAAACAAAUAAUCAUUUUUUUAAUAUUAAAAAUGUCAUUUGCAUGUAUUAAAAUUAUAAUUUUUAAUAUAUCAUUAAUUUUAUUAAUUUUAUUAAUUUUAUUAAUUUUAUUUAUUUUUAUAAAAAAAGUUACAUAUUAGUAAAUAUUUUACUAUAUCAUCCAUAUUUUAAAAAAAAUAUUUACUUUUCUAUUUUUUAUAUAGAGUAAGAUUUAAUAAUCAAUUACUUAGAUGAGAGAUUGAAACUGUAGGUAUAUAUGCACAGAAACUAUUGUGGUAUAUACCACAAAAUAUAUAUGAAGUACUCCACUAAUCUAAUUUAAUAAUAUUAAAAUUUAAAUUAAAUUAUUAUAAAAAUUUUCUAUUUUUCUUUCCAUCUCGGAACAUACGUAUAUUAUGUUUGAAUUUGUUAAAACUUAAAUUGAUUAUAAUUUAUUUAUUUCAAAUUAAUUUUCUACAUAUAGUAUCAAAUUAGUGGAAUUUAUUUAUAAAUAAUAGAUAUUUGUAUACAUUGUUUCUUUUAUUUUCUUUUUCCUUUUCUCAUUUUUUACAUAAGACAUAUUUUUCUCCAUUUUUAAUUAAGUAUUUAAUAUGGAUUUUAAAUAAAAAAAUAUUUUGUUUAAAAAAUGAAAAAUCAUGAAAAGGGCUUUAAUGUGAGCGUAUUGAUUGGUUAACAUUUUUUUUUCUAUUAAACUGCCAAAAAAAAUUUAGAAGUGUUUUUUUUUUUUGAGAAUUAUUUCCUUUGUUUCUUUUUUUUUCCUCAUUUUUUAUACUAACGACACAUUUUCUAUUUUCAUGUGAUAUCAUGCUUAAUAAAAUAUUAAGUAUACAUCUUAAAUGAAAGUUGUAAAAAGAGCUUUAAUUUGACAUAUAAUAAUUAAAAAUAUAAAUUUAAAAUAAAUAAAUAUUUUUACUUAAAAAAUUAUGUAAUUAAUAAUAAUAUGCGUUCUGUUCAAUUAAAGAAGUAAUGUGCUUUGUUUCCAAUUAACUACCACUAACUCGGAUUGUGCUAUUUAAUUUGUUGAAUAAGGAAUUAUUUUAAAUUCUUAUGUAUAAUAUGUAGAUAUACUUCAAAUUUGUAGUUAUUAUAGUGUUCGUUCAUAAAGUAUUUAAUCUUCAACUAAUUUAAUAAAAAUAGUAUUUGAUAUUCAAUUAGUUCAAUUUACUUACAGGAUUUCCUCGAAAAAAAAAUUUACUUACAGGAUAGACUCCACUUUUUGUAGGGUAUUGAUUGCACUUUAGAAGUCCAAUUAUUUUUAGAUUCUUUUAAUUGUAAUUAUUUAAUACAUUUAUUAUUCCAAGAGUUAAAAUGUUUUUUCUAGAACACCAAUUAAAAAUAUUGUUGAUUUGUUUGGAGGAAUACCAAUUUAGUGCGGUUUUGUAGAAUGGGAAAUCGAAAGUUUUUGCCGGAGCGGUUAUCUAAGUUUCAAUUAUAAUUUUUUCACUUCAAUUCCAAUUAUAUAUAUCCUUGCAAUUGAAUAAAAUUACAAUUACUUUGCUUUUUAUAUAUAUAAAGAUUAUGAGGUUAAUAACAAUUUUUCAUUCUUUUUCAAGGGAUGUUCAAAUAGUACAGAUUUCAAUAUAUAAACAAUGAGAUCUAAAGUUUAAAUUCUAUCGAAUUUUCUCUUUUAGAUAAAACAAAUUAAUUUUGCAUUCUAUUUAAUUGAGUUUUGAACUUUGUAUGAUCGAGUUGAGUCCUUGAAUUGGUUUUAGUUGAUUUAGAACAUAGGUCGGGUUGAUUUUUUUCAGAGAUAUGCAAACCACUACGAGAAGCUAGGCGGAUACCGUCAAUAAAUUUCAAUUUUUCGUCGUUAAGUAUAAUUAUUGACGAAAUACCGACGCCAAUCACUGGUCGCCCUUAAAAUGGUCGGUAUUCAAUUUACCGACGGAAAUUGGAUUCCACCGCUGAAUUACCAACGGGCGGUCCGUCGGCGACUGUGUGACGAUGCCGGCGUUGUUUCCAAUUAGCGACAGAAAAUUUCGUCGGUAAUGCCGACAGAACUAAUUUCCGUCGUUAAUUUAUUCGUUAACGAUGUGUGUAUUCUUUUUUCUUUUUUGGAUGAACGAUGUGUGUAUUCUUAAUGCCAAAGUUCUCACUCACAUAUAUAUACAUAUAUAUAUAUAUACAUAUAAUUUGUAGGGGAUACAAUGGUGGUUGUGUCUUCUUGUAAAUAUAAAUGCUUAAGAUUUUGCUACCAAAAUUGUUUGAGAAAAAAUAGAUUAGAAAAGGAUCAAAAAAUUAAAUAGAUUUGAGUUGACCUCCUUCCUCGAUCUAUACUACUUCAUGUAAUUGAUAUAUUUUAAUAGAUUGAAUGCUUAUUUAUGGAAAAUUAUUGUUUAUUUUGGAAUGAUCGAUUAAUUUGAAUGCUUGAUUGAUAUGGUUUAUAUUAAAUUUUAUUUUAGAGCAGAUUUAUUUUUUAUCAUUAGAGCAUGCUUUUUUUAGGAUGUUCUUUUUUUCUUUUUUUUUUAAUUUAUCAACUGAAAACUCCGUCGUUAAAUGCAUCAUUUCCAGGACGACGCUGAUAGCAAAGCAACGGAGACGUUAUCGGUGAGUCUGUCGGUGAUCACCGACGAGUGAAAAAAAUCUGUAGAUAGAAAUAAUUUAUCGACUACUAUUUUGACGUGGGAUGAAAUCCGUCGGUGUUCCUUAUUUUGGUGUAGUGAUGAUGAUUAUGAUACAUUUUAUAUAUACGAUAAUACGCCUGUUUAUGACAAUCAUAAGUUAUAUAAAGACAAAUAUUCUAAUUUUUUUUUUUUUUUUUUUUUUUUUACGAAAAGAGACAUUUAUUAUAUAACACUAGGAUCAUAACUGAUCACUUGGGCAAAAACAAGACAUUCGUUCAGGAAGGCCCGUCGAAGUGGAUUACCCAACAAAAGAGUAUCAUACUUAAAAUAAAAUAUUAACAUAAUCAGAGUAUCUUGCAGCGGAAAUACGUGUGAAUUAUACAUGUGAAGAUGUAUACUCAAGGUUACAUUAUUAUUUUAUGUCAAAAGGGUACAUCCGCUCAACUCCACUCCAUUCCAUCACCCGCUCAACCGUAAAUCUUGCUGUUGAAAAUGGGCUGCAGUAGUUGAAAAUGGUGGUCACAAAUAUUCUAAAUUGAUUCUUACUUCGUAUAACCAAAAAUUUUUGUAUUUAAUCCUCACAUAUGAACUCAUAGAGGAAUGGCAUACUAGUCAUUCCACGUGCAUCACUCAUAUUUAGCCUGUGUUACCGUUAUUUUCUUUUGUUUCAUAUAUUUAUUUUUAUUCUAAUAUAUUAUAAAUUGUUUUGUUAACAUAAUUUAAUUUUACAAAAACAUAAAAAUCGGAGCUUCAUUUUUUUUCAUUCAUUUAUUAUCAUUUUUUUAAAGAAAAACAAAAUAGAGAAUCGAAUAUUAGUUUAAAUGCACCUGUCCCACACUUACUCCUGCCUUCUUAAAUGUCCAUAUUUCCUCCCAUUUCUCCUUCACCGUUAUGCUCUCUCUCUCUCUCUCUCUCCAUAUGUCUAUAUAUCAACAUUCUCUGUUCAUCAUCCUAUAUAUAACAGAGAGAGAGAGAGAGAGAGUGAGAGAGAGAGAGAUGUUGAAAUAGUCACUAUGAUGUUGGCUCGGCUCACUCAGAAAUGAGAAUGUUGUUUUUGCGUUUUUGAUUGAGCCGUGCCAAUAUCUUAGUGCGUUUUUCACAUACCAUUAUUCUUCAUUUUGCUACUUCUUCAGGUUUGCGUUUUAUGUCUAUUUAAUUUUUUAAAUAAAUACAGAUAAUUAGAUAUAUUUAUUCAAAUCCACCAUCGGUGAAACUCCCAGUAUUUAAUGAUUCUUUCUUCUUGUUAUUGGAAUAUUAUUUGCUUAAAAUAAUUGUUUGGUUUAAAUUUAAAUGUCAAUAUCGUAUAUGCAAAAGAUCAAUUCUUGAUUCCUAUAUUAUUUGGCAUUUGUACAUUUUUUAAUAUAAAAUAAUUAUCAUUAGUCUCUUGUAAAAUUUUUAAUUUUAUCAUUGUUAGCUAUUUCAAUUGUUCGUGUAAAAAAAAAAGAAUUAUUGGUAGCCUUUUUCAGUUAUCCUUGUAAUGGAGUAAUUAAUAAUCUCCCUAAAACAUUUGUCUCUUCUUACUUUAAUUUGGUACUAGUAUUUUAUUUUUGUCGAUGUAUGGUUCAAGUCUCUCUUUCCUCAUACGUCUUUAAUUACAGUCUCACCAAGACAUGAAUUUUAUUUUCAUUUCUUAUAUACUUAAUUAUUAAUUAUUAUAUAUACUUUAUCAAUUCAAUAUAUAUAUUAAAUGAUAACCAUUUAAUAAAAUCACUUUUCCUUCCAUUGAUUAUCAAAUUGCUUAUCCAAACUUUUACUUUAUUUUAUUGCAGCUUGUACAGGGUUUAUUUUAGUUUGAAAAUUAUUGAAAUACUGAACUUUUUAUUUGUUUUUUAUGUUUUGUUUCAUUUUUCACUUUUUCUUUCGAAAAAGAGCUAUUUUCUUAUCAUAAUUAAAUAAUAAGCUAAUUAAAUUACUAUUGUUAUUAUAAAGUGAUAAUUAAAUAUUUUUAAAAAAAAUAAAUCUAAAGAUAUAGUUGAAUAAUUCUUUAAUAAAGUUAAUUUGAUGCAGAACUACUGAAUGGAUUAUUUGGAAGCGCCGAAUGAACUGAAUAUGGGACAGUAACCAUUGAAUAUUGUCUUACCUAUAAUUUUAUUUAGUUAAAUUUUCGAAAUAUAUGGAGUAUGAAAUAUGUCUAAACUACGCAAAGUUUAAUUUACUGAUGUUUAUGUGUCUUUCUUGUAUUUAUGCUUUAUUUAAAGAUUUAAAUGUAGAAUUGAAUCUAUUUAUACUAACUUAUGGUCAAUUAACGAUUUCAACCUCUUCACUUUAAUUUACAUACAAUGUUGAUUAGUUUUUUUAGAUUUUUCGUUAUAGACUAUUGUUUCAUUUCAUCUAAUUUACAUGCAAUUGUGAUUAGCUUUCUAGAUUUUCUGUCAUAGAUUAUUCUUUCACAUGUUCGCAUAUACACUUAUGGCUUUUCAUUAUUUUUUUUCUAUCAUCAUCUUUUGUUUUUCUACUUACUAUAAAAUAUUAUUUUAUAGAUAACAAAUAAUUAGUUGGUUUUGAUACCGUAAAUAGAUAAAUUAUUGUUCCAUCUGCGUACAGUUCUUUCCCCACCUUUGUAUGGUGUAGAGGUCCCGUCUACGUGCGAGUUGCUUAUUUGAUUAUAUUUAGAUGCAUCUUGUAAUUUUAAUUAAAAAUAAUAAUGUUACAUAACUAAAACGUAUCAAAUAAAUAAAAACAUGAAUAAUAAAGUGAAAAGGUAAUGUUAAAGUUUAGAAAAUAAUGAGAGUAAUGUAGGCAAAAAUUAUAAUAUGAUAGAAAACAUGCUUUUAUAAGAUAAUUUUACAAAUAAUAUAUACAUAUGUAUAAUUCAUGAAAAGGGAAUAUAUAUUGGGGCCUUAUUUUUUUAUUUUUUUUAUGAAAUUACAUUAUAAAUAAUACAAACCACGCGCACACCCCACCUAGUGGUUAUUGUGGCCGAGAGUAUUCGAACCUGUGACCUCUUGGACAACAGGCAACCACCCCAACCACUAGGUCAUCCCAAGGGGACAGGGGCCUUAAUUUUUCAAGGAACUUGAGCAUGCGACCACCUCAAUCGCCUCUACUUGGAAGUUUCAAUUAUUAAUAUUUAUUAUAAGAAAAAAAAUAAUGUUUUUUCUUAUGAUUUUGGCCAAAAAUUGUCGAUCGAUUACACUUCAUAAAAAGUUACACUUUUGCAGAAUAACAAAAUAGGAGUAUCUUGUGUGAAACCAUCUUGAUCUUGUUGUGAGAUGAGUUAAGACUAAAAUCUAAAUUCAUUUCAAUGAUAUUUUUGAUCUUGCUGUGAGAUGAGUUAAGAUUAAAAUCUAAAACUCAAUGAUAUAUUUUCAACUGGGGAAUUAAAUUGUCUUACACAAUUUUAUUGUUUCUAUUUUGUUUUUUUUUUUUGAAAGGUCAAGAUAAAAAUAUAUAAAUAUGAGUCCAAAGAGUACUCAACCCUUACAAAAAGAAUUAGAACAAAAUUACAAAUUAGACGGUAUACAUUCUCUCGAACUAAAACACCAAUUUGUUAAUGAAUAGGAUAAAGAAAUAGGAUAGUUUGCAUGUAGUCAUUUCCAAUAGUUAAUCUUCACACCUUUCACAAUCUUAGCAAAAUUCGGAUUAAUGUCCUUAAAAAUAAGCCCAUUUCUCACUUUUCAAAAUUCUCCAAACCGUGUAUUGUCAAAAUAUUUUGGCUUGGGUGAUUGUUGUGCUUGUACCAAGAAACACACAUGCACCCUAUCUCAAUCCCAAUUACUGCACUUUCUCCUUUCUGGUGAACAUUUAUUUCACCUUUUGAACUAUUUGAUUCCUAUUUCACCUUCUCACGCCCUUGUUUUUUUGUAGAUUUCAAAAUUUAAUUUAUAUAUAUAUAUUUACAAGGAGUUAGUUGCAAGAAGUAAAUGGGAGAGGUGGUGUUGUUGGCACAACCAUAAAUGUGAAGAGCAACUUACACUGCAAUAAUUAAUGAUACAAAAGAGAAUCUCUGCAAGAAAUUGUUUGCCAAAUCUUUAAUGUAUUCCCAUCGGACAAAGAUUCCCCCAUUAAAUACUUCCUUGUGUGCUCUCCAUUCUAUUUUCACUAUAUUUAUCGUUAUACUUCUUUAUAUAAAAAUAAAACUUUAUUUUAUAAUAUGAUCAAACUAUACAAAAUUGAUGUGAGAAUAUAUUGAUUUUUUUAGUUGAUAAAAUGAAUGAGAUCAUUUGAAGUAGUAAUAUAUUCUUGACGCAUAUAAAUAUUAGCAAUUAAUUAAUUGAAAUAUGAAUAUGCUUCUUUCUUGUUUGCUUAAUCAACUCAAAUAAACUGAAAUACAAAUGCCAAAGUUUGGGAAUUAUACCAAAACGAUGUUGUUUUUUAAUAAAUAGUGUGCAUCAUCAAUUUUUCGAGAACUAAAAAGAAUUGGGUAGCAAAAAAAGUGAUAAAUCUAUAUCACGGGUUAUUUCUAUCUAUCUGUUUACUAAAGAAAUGUCUAUUUUGUAUGAUUGAUAAUAUCAUGCAUGUAUUGACCAAACGGUAAAGGUUUAAUGUCUAAGGUCAAAAAGUAUUUGAUAACGUAAAAUUUCAAUAUCCAUCUAAAUAAAUAAGAAGUUAGUCUUAUUAAUUUUCUUUAUCUAAAAUAAUUAUCCAAGUAAACAUUCCCUAAGCAAAUGAAAUAGACUUCGUGAAGAAUGAAAGGAACGUGGAGUGGAAAUAGUGAUAUGAAAAAUUUAUAAGUGUUGGCGAUGAAUUUUAUCGCAGAGAUGAGGCUAGCUAUAACUGAAAAUCGUGAAAUUAACCCUCAUAACUUAUGGCAUAAAAUAUUUAGUACUGAAUCAGAUCUUAUCAUGCGAACAAGCCCUAUCUAUAGUCAAAUUCAGAAAGUUUGAUAGUUGAAAGUUAAAAAUAGAGCACAAUAAUUAAAUAUAUUCUCCGUCCAUUAAAAAUAUGAUAUUUUUUAUGGACACAUAUUUUAAUAAGAGAUGAUCUUGGGAACAAUCGGGUGUACCGUAUAAUCGGGUUGCAUCCUCACUUAGACUCUGACCCGCACCCUGAUCUAAACCCGUAUUCUGACCCGGACCUUAUAAAUAACACUAUUUUGAAUGCGGAUCAACCCAAUUGUACGAUACACCCGGUUAUACCCAAGUUUUUGUAUUUUAAUAAAAAAAUAGAUGAUGAUUUUUAUAUAGUGGAUAAAGAGUCCCAUUAUUAUAUGAAAUGAAUGGUUGAGUUUGAAUUAAUGGUGGUUUAUUUUGUAAAUAAAAUGUAUUUGUAAGGAUAAAAAGAUAAGAAAGAGAUGUGUGUUUAUGUUCUAAAAAUCAAAAUCUAAUAUUUUGAUGGAUAAUAAUAAUAAAAAAUUAUCAUAAUUUUUUCGUAGACAUAUGUAGUACUUAUUCUUUUUCUAAUCCUUGGUUCUUUUUGUUCUAAAUUUUUUUUGAUAGAAGACUUUUUCAUGUCUUCUCCUUGGUUCGGCAGUUUAUGCCUUUCUUGAUGCUCGUUGGUUUCUCCAGUUUCUGUUUAUUUGGUUGUCUUAUGGUUGGGAAGGUCGGGGUUGUUUGGGGACGAUGGUUAGGCCGGAAUUUUGGAAACAAUCCUUUCUGCUUUCCCACCAUUUUUUUUUUUGUCGGCUUGCUUUAUAGGAGUACUCUUUAUCAUUUUUACGAUUUUUUUCUUUGAAUUUUUCGUAAAAAAAAUUAAUGAGUUCGACCUUUAGUCUGCUGCUGUGUGCUUUCAAGGCUUUUCAAGAUUUUUCUUUUCUUUUUAUUUAUAAAAUAUAAUUUAAUAAUUCUUUUUCCAAUCCAUUUCUCGAUUUAUCCGUUCUGGAAACUGAAAUUUUGGAAGCUGAAAUUUUUUUACUAGCAUUAAAAUUUAGGUAAUUGAAUCGACUCUCUAAAGACAAACUCACAAAAGUAGGGGUGAGCAAAAUAUCCGAAAUCCGAAUAUCCGAUCCGAACCAAACCGAAAUUUAAAAUUUGGUUCGGAUUUUUCGGAUUUUCGGAUCGGAUCGGAUUGAAUUUUAAGCAAAUUUCGGAUUUUCGGAUCGGAUCGGAUUGGCACCUUAAAAAUCCGAAAAAAUCCGAAAUCCGAAUUAUAUUUAUAAUAUAAUUAAUAUUAUAAUAUUAUAAAUAAAUAUAUAUAAUUAUUAGUUUUUAAAUAGUUAAAUAUUUCUAAAUUCUAACCCUAUACUCCCAUUUUGGUUGAUUAUAAUUAAUGGCUUGUUAAUUAUGACCUUAAUUUGAUUGUAUUAUCUAAUAUGUUAGGUUGACAUCUAUUUCGGAUUUUUCGGAUUUUUUCGGUUUUCGGAUUUUUUUUUUUACAUUUCGAAUUUUUUUUCACAUUUCGGGUUUUUCGGUUCGGAUCGGAUUUUAUCCGAAAUUUUUCGGAUUUUCGGAUUCGGAUUUUCGGAUAAUACGGUUCGGAUCGGAUUGAAUUUUAGGAAAAUUUCGGAUUUUCGGAUCGGAUCGGAUCAGGCAAAAAUCCGAUCCGAAAUCCGAAUGCUCACCCCUACACAAAAGUAGCUGACAAAAUUUCAGGACUUAAAAGACGUAUAUUUUUGCUUUCAUUGAGAGUUGAACUCAAGACCUCCCGCUUACUAAACAGGUGCUCUAACCAACUGAGCUAUGAAAGCUUUUGAUUUAACAAUAGAGAAUGAAAAUAUUUGCCAUAAAUACUUAUUAACAUUUAAUAUCCAUAUAUCUUGGUACCAAAAUUCAGAUUGCGUGCAAAUCACUAAGAAAAUAAUUAUUAUUGUUAUCAUAGUAAGAAUAAUACUCCCUUAUUAGUAUAAUAUCCCGCUACUUUUAAGUACAGAAAAAUUAAGAAAAGUAUAAUUGAUAUAUAAUGUGAAUUGAUUGAAGAUAUUUAAGGAUUAUUUUAUGCUAAUUACUUAACUAAUUGCAUGAAAAAUCUAUUAAUAUAUGAAAACGCAGUUGAUUAUCAAAUUUUUUGCACCAAUUUUGAGGCAAUAUAGCAAAUAAAGAAACAUGUCGAGGGUAAAUAUAUUGAUAGCAUCGGCGCAUCACAACAAAUUCCACGAAAAUAGGAUAUUCAAUAUCAAUGUAAACCCACUAACUAAAAACUAUUUAAUAUAAUAUAUUUACUGAAAUAUAAUUUCCUGAUGAUUAACGGCAGUUUCAUACAAUGAUCCCACUGCAUACAAUAAUAUUUGAAAUAUAUAACAAAUGAAUAAAAUUGAUAUAAUAUUUUAAUAUAUUACACCACUAUUAGAUAUGCACACACCCACUACAUUUAACUACCAUUAUCAAUACUGAAUCAAAUCACAUAUAUAAAUACGCAUAUCCAUAAAAAGAAAGAAAAAAUACAUGUUUCUCUCUUCUUGCUAACAAUUCUCCCACUUUUACACUUUUCUCUCUUUUUGCAUUUAUCAAAUAUGCUCCGUUUUUCGGUGUUCUCAAAAUUGCUUUACACUAGUCUCAUUCGCAAUUAGAUAUUCUCUGAAAUUCAAUAGCAAAAAUGCAUGAAUGCAUUUUCAUGAUAAAGAAUAACGGUAUCUUGGGCAGAAAGAAAAGAAGAAUUACAUGGAGGUGAAGAUUGUGGAGCCGUCGCUGGAGUGGGAGACGGUGAACUUGUGCCGGUGGGAUAUGGCGAAGAAGAAGAAGAAGGGCAGGAAGAGGUACGUGAUCAAUGGAAAUUGGAACAACAUUGUGGAGAGGAAUAAGUUAAGAACAGGGAUGGUGGUGCAGUUGUGGAGUUUUCCUGCCUCCUGAAUAUCAUAUUCAUUUUCCUUCUUUAAUUUCAUUCCAAAUUUUAUACUUCUUUUGGUAUAUAUAUAUAUAUAUAUAUAUAUAUAUAUAUAUAUAUAUUAAUUGCGGAUCGAUCGAUGGCUUUGUUUAUCCAACUUGUAUGUUUAUAUACAUUUAAUUUCCUCCUAUUAGGGAGUUUUGGUUCUGCUUUCUUCUUCGAUUAACAAAAUAUAAAAGCUUCAUUCUUAAGCAACAAUGGUGCCAAUAAGAUCGAAACUCAUCUAUUCUUGAAUCUCCACGCUCCAUUCCCUCUCUAGAAUAAAUUCUUAAUUUUAACAUCUACAUAUCAUUAUAGUGUUAAUGGUACAAAUUUUCUGACAAUAUUUUUUGACAGUUUUCAGUCCAAAAUUUUAGGACCAUUUUCAUAAAAUGUGUAUACAUUUUCUUUCAAUCUUAAAUUCUCCCAAAAUCUCAUUAUUUUGUUCUAUUUUAAAUAUAAAACUUCUCUUAAUCUCAAAAAAUAAUAAAUUUUCUCUUCAAACAAUUUCACUGGUGAUACCAACAAAAUCUUUUCUUAAGCAAGCAUGAAAAAUUACAACCUGGAAGUUAUUAAGGUUGUUAAAAUUGCAAGCCCAACAUAAAAAUAAAAAUUGGAGUUGUUAAUAUUUCAUGUAAGUAGGCCCAUGGUUAUAAACGAGCCCAACCAACCAAUACGAACCUCAUGUUCGUUAACUUCCUAUAAUUUUAUUUUUUAAGAUCUCAAUUUGAAUUUUGUAACUUAGUAAAACAGAUAUAGAAGUGAAAGUAAUUAUUAAAAUAAAAUAAAGGCGUGAGGAUUUAGUCGAGCAAAAAUUUCGUAUCACAAUGUAAAUAAUAUUGUUAUGCAAAUUAAUGAAAUUGUAAAUUCGCGUAACAGUUUAAAUAACAUUGUUAUAUGAAUUACCCUACUCAUUUAGGCACUCUUUGAUAGGGAUGAUAAAGCAGGGAUAUACAAAUAAUUUGACCUUAUCACCCGUUAGUACCUCAGAUAAAUAAACUGAAAUAUCUGUAAAUUGAAAGAGACUCAUCUAUAAUUCACUAUUAGUACACCCGCUCGUGCUAUGUAUGACGAACAUCGAAAUUAAACGAUAUAUGUAAAUAAAUAUUAAAUAAAAUUAAAAUAUAAGUAAUUAUAAAAUAUAUUUUAAAAAUAAAAUAAAAUAAUUCACAUUAAUUAGUCAAUAAAAAUUACGAAUUAAAAAAAAUAUAAAUUUUACAAUUUUGUAUAAAGUGUAAUUAUAACUACAUCUAUUAAACAAUUGAAAAUUAUUUAGAUAAAUGAAAAUUUAGCAUUACCCACUAUCAUACACAAAUAUAAAAAAAGUCAGAUAAGAAAUUAAAUUUUAAUUUAUACAACUAAUUAUUCAUCUAUAAAUUUACAUUAAAAUUAAUACAUAUUAUACCUUUUGAAAUUUUAUAUAUUUUUAAAAUUAUAGAGCUCUGAAAUGAUUGAAUAUAAUCUCACUCUUCUCAGUACAUUAAACAUUAUUAUAAUUAAGAUAUAUAUAGUAAAAAAUACAGAAAUUGAUAUUUAACAAAAUAUAGAAAAUGAAACAAAAUUAUGAAAAAAGAAAACAAAGAGAAAAAAAAUCGUAUGUUCAACAUUAAUAAGAAGGUGAGAGAAAUAAAAGGUUUUACAGAGAAUUAAAAUAAAUAUUUUAAAUUUUAAAUUGUUCAUAACUUAUUCGUUUUAUAUUCAUUUUUAAUUAAUGAUGUUUAUAUCAUAUUAAAGAUCUUUUCACGAUCAAUUUAAUAUGCACAUUGCAUAUUAGGGGAGAAGAGAAAGAAAAAAAGGCAGGGAAAAAAAAAAUUUCUUUUUUAUAUAUAUAUUAGCAUAUAGAUUUUUUAUGUAGUUUGAUUAUUAUUAUUUUUUGAUAAAUUAACAUUUAAAUAAGAAAAUUCAAAUACCGUAUUACAGAUUCGAAAUUUAAAAUUUCUAAUCUUAAACAUUAACCAAAUUAUCACUAGCCCAACAAACACUUUGAUGGAAGGGGAGGUGGUUCCAUCCAAACUUAGUUGAAGUGGAAAAUAGUCAAAAGUGUUGUUAGAUGUAAUAAAUGAAUUUGAUCAAAUUCGCUUGGUACAGUUGAUCUGAUAAGCGUGCAUUAGUGCAUAUAAAUAUACAUAUGAUAUUUUAGUAUCUUGUUUGCUUCAAAAUGAGAUGUUUAAUAGAGAAAAUACAUAAUAUUCAUUAUACUAUAAAACAUUUUUGUGUGAUUCUAUUAAUAUGCCACAUUCGUAAGAGAGUGCCUUGGGGUUUAGGUAAUCACCUAUUUAUUGCAGCGGUGAGAUUAACUCUGCGCCUGCGGGGACAGUUUCAGUUUCUUCAUAUAAGUAUGCUACGUACUGUUUAAUUCAUUUCCUUCCAACAAUUACUUCUAUUUAAUGUUAUUUAUUACUAUUUUAUUUUUUGGAAGAAUGAUAAGGAGUGCUAUUUUUUAUAGCCGAAUUUCAAAUCUGCAUUCAGUUUUUUACGUUCAUACCAUAAACAUGACAUGAUUGGAUAAAAGCUCGGUUGUCCACUUGAGGAUUGCCAGAUGGUGAAGAUGUAUUUUGUUGGGGAUGAAUCCGAAAAUUACGGAAGUGACGUCAGUCACGUAUGGAUCGACGGACACUAGUAACCUGAAACCACAACCAACGUCAGAGCCCUCCGAUGAGCACUGGUGAGAGUGUCGAUUGAAGGGCCUCCGACGCUCAAGUCAGUGAAUUGUUAUUAAAUACAGACGUAAGUAACGUAAUGAAAUAAAUAAAUGAUAGAGAAGAGAUAGUAAUAAGUGGUAUAUUCGGAAGAUCGGGGUGUCCGGUAGUCGGAGUUAGAGCUAAUGAGCGAAUUGGAAUGAGGGGCGACGUCGGGCUAGCGGGACUAGUCGGGCGAUCGGAACCCUAGAAUGUUGUGAGCGUGGAAGCGGAACGAAAGAGCGGGGAGUGCGAGAGAGAGCGAGAGUCAGAGAUCGUGUGCGAAUGCUAGAGUGGAUAUGAGUGAUUCUACGAUGCCCCUUCACUAAUGUAGAUAUAUAUGUUACGGACGUGUAGGGAGACGGCUAUGGUUAGGGUUCUACUGGAACCCCCGUUGCAGCCCUAGCGGUUCCGGCUUCUUAGGAAACGAUCUCCCGCGACUCUCGUCUGACUUGGUCUCCAAGUAACUGCCGCGUUUAGGGUUUUCUUGGGUGAAUUCACGCUGCAUAUGGGCUUGGCUUUGGGCCUUGCGCUAUGAGCGCGGUAUGGACCGUUUUACCGGGCUAGCCCGUUGGGCCGUAUAAUUAUUGUUAAUUAGACUUAUACUAAUUUUACCCACUACAUAUUUUUAAGGCCAAUUUUUUAAAUUGAACCCGUCACAUUUUUAUUUUAUUUUUUUGAUUUGGUAAAGGGGAACAGUGAUGUUUGAACCCUUGACCUCACUGUUCACAUACAGGAAGUUCGCACCGCUUGAUGCCUCCUUGUAGGUUAUCGUGUGUGUGUGUGUUGGCCUAGCGAGGAAGUCAAUACCCAAGACUUGAGGUCCUGGGUUCGAGUCCUCUGUUGUGCGGUUUUUGAAUUUUUCUAUUUACUUAUGUAAUUGUAAGUUACCAUGCAUGUCAUUAAAAAAAAGCUCGAUAUAGCUGGAUAUCUGAUUAGUGAUUAUGACGCUUAUUUUUGUGUUUUAAGAUUUUAAGCUUAUUUAAAUAUGGGUUAAGUAUCAAAUAAGCCCCUAACGUAGAGGCCCUUAUUACAUCUAACACCCUAUGGUAAGGGGUGUGUCAACUAAGCCCCUGAAGUACUUAAUUUUCGUCAAUUAAGUCCUCCGACUUAACGGACGGUUAACACCGUUAACUAUUUUAAUUUAUUUCUUUCGUUGGUGGUGGGACCCAUGCCUUCUUCUUCGGCAAGCUCGUCGGAAACUCGCUAGAAACAUGCCGACGUCGGCUCCUCCUUCUCUCGGCCCUCUCUCUGCACACCCUUCCUCUCAUUUCCACCCCGAUCUCACUCUCAUUUCCUCGGUUCCAUGCCUCUUAAGCUAGGUCAAAUGCUACAAAAUUGAGCCAGACAAUUUCACAAAGAAAUGCGAAGCAAGAAAAACAAUUCCAAAAGGCCCCAAAACCCACAAAAUUUUGGGAAAUGGCAAAUAAAAAGGAGAAACCUCAACUACAAAAAAAAGGGGAACCAAAUACACAACAUAAAUCACAGACGUUGAACUCAUUAAACACAAAGGUCCAUAAUUUUAGGGACAAACAAGGAGUAUUUCCACACCAUUUGCAUUAGAGAGAGGGUCAACGCGGCGACGCUUCCGAUUGUGCGCCCAAUCGUCGAUGUUGUCAUCCGGGUCGGGUUUGGAUCCUGGUAAAUCGGGUAAGAUCUCGAUCCGCAGAACCUUGUUCGAGAAGUUGACGUCGUCGAAGGCGAACCCGAAGUCGGACGAUGAGGUUUGAGGAGAACCGAUGUCCGACGAGGCAGCCGUCGCCAUUAAACAACUGCUUUCGACAAAAAAUGCACCUUUUUUUCCUGCAAUCCCUAACAAUUUUGGUGUGCCUUUUUAUCGAAGAAAUCCGUGUAAAUAUGACGCUGAUUUCAUGAGGAAUUGUAAAGGGGGGAGAAGAUAACGGCGGUGUGAUGAAAUGAAAGAAAAACCGAAAGUUUUGUGAAGUAACUUGUAAUUUGGGAAGGAGGUUUUCUCCUUGAUUUAUUUGAUUCCAAUUAAAUCGAAUACAGAGCAAAAGACGGCGGCGGCGACUCCUCGCCGUGAGACCACCGGCGAGACAGUGAGAUCGGGGUGGAAAUGAGAGGGAGGGUGCAGAGAGAGGGCCGAGAGAAGGAGGAGCUGACGCCGGCGUGUUUCUGGCGAGUCUUCGGCGAGUUUACCGAAGAAGAAGGCCUGGAACGUAUUUUUUUUUAAAUAGUUAACACCAUAGUUAACGGUGUUAACCGUACGUGAAGUCGUAGGGCUUAAUUGGCGGAAAUUAAAUACUUUAGGGGCUUAGUUGACACACCCCUUGCCAUAGGGUGUGAGACGUAAUAAGGGCCUCUACGUUAGGGGUUUAUUUGAUACUUAACCAUGUAAAUAUUAACUGAAUUGCUAUAGGUAAUGAAAUAUUUGCUUAAAUGGGAAACAAUUUGUAAAGCUAUACAUAUUCACAAGGGAAAAAGAGUCUAGAUAACAAAAAAAAUGAACACACUAAAUCAUAGCUCAAAUUAAGUCAGAAUAAUUUUAAGUAAUAACUUUAUAUUUCUAUGUAAUAACUAAACAAUUUUAUUAGUAGAGCAUAUAAGAUCGAUUGUUUAUGUUCUUAAUUAAAUAGUAAAGGAACAAAUUGUGUAAUUUAUCAAAUGUAAAAUUAGGAUAUAUAGCUACGAAAUAAUUAUAACAUUCUGAAGGACCUCUUCAUCUAUAGCCUAUAUAUAGGCACAUUUCAAAGUGUAUCUAAUUACUUAUAUCCAUAUGUUUAACAAGUUUUACACCCUUGAAGGUAGUUUUGAUCUUCUUACUCGUAUUAUAUGAAAUUUGUAUGAUUAAUAAGCUUGUAAUCAUCACCAAACAUGAAAUAUUACAUAGUAUUGGAAUUUUAUAUAACUUUAAAGCACGAUACAAAUAAGCCCUCCAACAUGGUUGUGAAGAACACACUUGUUAACUCAAGCUGGUAUGAAACUAUUACAUUCAUUUCUACCACUGAGUUCAACUCAUAUUAAACCCCCCCAUAAUAUUAAGAUAAUUUAUAUUAUCCCGAUUAGCUACACACAACACACACACAGAGGAUCAGAUAAGUUGGGGUCUUUUUUUUUUCUUUUUCUUGAAAGAAGAUAAUUAGGGUUGACCAUUUUUUAGCAUAGGCUGGCUGCUUGGGCUGCUGAGAGUUUGCAAGCCCCAUUUCUAAGUUCCCAUCGAUUGUAGGUUUCUUCACAUCAUCUUUAUUCUUGCGGUAGAUGCCAUACAACAUCAAUUGCAUUGCUCCCAAAAAACACCCAAAUCCAUUAGGAAUCUGCAAUAUAUAUAUUUGCAUAAAAUAAAAUAAAUCAAUUACAUCACUAUCACCAUUUAUUAGAGCUUUCAGAAUGGCCCGGUCCGACUUUAAAUUUAUUGGACAAUAGAAUUUUAGACCCAAAUUGGACCAAUUUGACAUAAAAAUUUUGGGCUAGGGGGUUAUGCACAAAACUAUUUUGGGAUGGAGUGGGGCUAUAAAAUAAUGCAGAGCCCAAAACGUGGCCCAUAAAAUAUACUUUUAAUUAAUGAUCAAUUUUCACAUGUAAGAAAGAAAAAAGUGAUGGGUGGCAAAAGAAAAAAUACUCACGUAGAGAAAUUUGUCGUUACCAAUGAGGCCAUAAAUAAACCAUGAAGUACCACAUAGGAAGACAAACAGAGACAGGAGAAAUGGCAUAUACUCCACGCUCUUGCUUUUUAUUACCAUUCUCUGCGAUCAUCCAAAACCAAUUUUAUUGAUUCAUCAGUGGAAAUAAAUUAAAUUAAACUAAAUUAAAUUAUGGAGUAUAUGUAAUCUUACUUACCAUGACUGAGAGAGGAGAAGCAUACAUGAUGAUGGAGAAAAUAGUGGCAGCAAAACCACAAAACAACUGCCUUUUCUUCUCCUGUUUGAGGGCAAAAAUGGAAACCAAAGCCACAGUGGAAAAUAUAGAAAGAAUGCCAAAAAGAAGAGCCAUGAUUUUGGCCUUCUCCUUCUUAGGCGCAAAUACAAGAAAAAUCAGCACAUAAACUGACUCAAUCACUACUCCACUCCCAUUUAUUGCAGAAACCAAGUAGUUGUUUGGUGAUAUGAAAGGCAACCCAUACCUGCAUUUAAAUUUCAUAUUAGUAAUUAAAUGCUCAUCUCAAUUAAUUCAAAAAAAUAUACAUAGUAGAGCAUUCCCAAACUGAUGUAGAUGUUUUAGGACUUCAACUCGGAUAUUUAAAUAUUGACAACGUCAUUAUAUUGUCUCUUUACUAAAUAAAGGGGAAUUAAAGAAAAUGGUUGAUAUGCAAUUUUUAUUAUUUUUGGUAUUGUCAACUCCGUGAUUCUUUUUUUUUGCGACUUGCGAGUAGUAUCCUUUGUGUUAGAUAACAGUGUCAUAAAAAGUAAUGACAAACACACACACACACACAGUGUAAAUAUACUAGUAAUUUGUUAAAAUUGGGAUAAUUAGAGGAAUAAUUGAAUAAUUAUUAGGACUGGUAUGCAGUCAUAAUUAAGAAGCAAAAAGAAAAAUGGAGCAAUAAAAUAAAAGUUACCAAGCAGCGAGCAAACAGUUGAGCAACGUCAUAACAUAUGGUAUGCCAGAGAAUUGCUCAGUUGAUCUGUUCAUGAUGAUCCUCUUGAAAGUAACCCUUCACAUUUAUUUCCCAAAAUUAAUACUACAGUUUAUUAAUUAAUCCAAACAUGAAAUUAAGCAAAACAAAAAUUCACAAAAUUGUGCUGCCUUUACUCACGAUGGAGAGAGAAACAAAAACAAACCAGUAGCAUUUCCUAAAACCAAAUCGAAAUUCAUCAAAUUAAUUAAUGUUGUUAGAAAACUCAAAACUGCAGUCAAGUAAAAACAUCGAAGAAGAAGAAAUAAAUCCUACCGAAAACUCCAAACACCAAAUGCAAAGCUUUGCCGUGACUCAUUGUGAAUGAAUAUUUCCCGAGGAAUUAAUGCAACAAACUCUAUAUCUAUAUGAUUAAUAAUAAUGGAUUUGAAGAAUAGAUAAUGAGAGUUGGUUUUUGUUGAGGUGAUGAAGGAAAUGGGGUGGUGAGGGAUGAUUUAUAUAGAGCGAAAUACUUUUUGUUAGCGGUUAAUCAAACAGAUUACGUCCUUAUCCACACCGGCCAAAACUCUCUCUAUAUCUUCUCGCACUAUACGUAUAUGUGUGUGUAUUUUGAGUACGUGUCAUGCAUGUUUUGUUACUGUGUGUAUGCCUGAAAAAUCUGAAUGACUGCUUCUGCUACUGACUAAUUAAUGUUGAACUAGAACACCCACUCGUGCGUUGCACGACAAGUGCUGCACGUUGAGUGUUAUUUUUAAAUAAUAUUUUAAAUAAAUAAAUAUGAAAAUAAGACAUGAUAUUCAUAUAAAUUAAAUUUAAUUAUAAUUAAAUGCAAAACAAAAACAGGGAGAGAAUGUGAGUUACCAAUCAAUCGGAUCAUUCGCCGGCGACAAAUAAACCCCAAUGCCGUGAGAAAAGCCUUGUUCAAAAUUCCCACAUCUCCCAAAUCCAUGAGUGACAAUCCCCAAAAUCUCAUCCCGCGCAGCGCCGUACCAAGCAUGCUUAAUAUUGGCGUUGCCGCCGCGCUUCGUCGCCACCGCCUGUGAGAAUAGCCGGAAAGCUUCCAGUCUGGCCUGGCCCGUGAUGCUGGAGUAAGGAUUCUUGUGCACAGCAAGCACAUUAACUUCCUCGGCAAGAACUCCCAUCCCAUACUUAAACCUCUUCUCAACUACGCCGUAUUCGCUGUCACCCAGUUCCAUUUUCACCAUCCCAUUCCUCGUGAAAUCUCUGAAUUGCCGGCAACCCGAUUCCGACGAUGAUUCGCCGUCGGAAUCCGCCGGCGCCUCGUGGUCGUCCACCGUCAUCGACAUCUGCGUUUCCCGCUCCAUCUCACGGAUAUCAGAUUUGAAUGAUGCAAGUAAUAAAAAGUUAGGGAAACUUAGGCGACAAGAAAGAGAGAAGAGUUGGUUGCAUCAGUAAUAUUAUUUAGUGGGAAAUGCAGAAUGGAAAGGGACCGUUAUAAGAUUCAUAAAUAAGGCGGUUUAGGAAGGUGAUAGAUAUAACGUGCCGCCAUAUAUCUAGAUAAUAUCGACACGCCUCCUCUCUUUUUCGUGCUCAAUAAGAUUUUUCUUUAAUUAGCAUAUGCGAAUUAAAUUAAGACAGUUAAUUUGGGAUAAGACAGUUAAAUAAUUAAAUAACUUUCGGAUAAGACAGUUAAUUUGAAAAAUAUGAUUAAAUAAUUGUAUUCAAAAAAAUGACACCUAUUAAUUUGAAAAUUUAAAAUUUGGAGAGGUAGGUGGCGGGAAAAAUGACCGUUUAACUGGUCUUUAAUAUAAUAUAUAGAUUUCUGGUGAAAAAUUAAAAGCUUGUGCUCAUGGUUUGGCCUAUCUGGAAAAACCAUGCAUACUUUUGUAUAUCUACAUUAGACUCGACUUAAUUUACUCUAUUGUAAUUUCAUAUUACGUAAUAAUAAUAUUAUGACUUAAUUAAUUAACGAAACAUAACGUUAAUCUGAUUUAAGCGAGGCAAUAUCGAACUCAUCCAAACUGCAGCUUCUUCUCCAUCAUAUAUACAACUAACACCUAUUAAUAAAGGAAAAAAACAAUAGAAAAUUGAGAUAUUUAAUGCUAAUGUAUUAGAGAUCAUUGCUAAUUAAAUAUCAAACUUACAAACUCUACCUAGUUUGUGAAGUAUUGCGAUUAAGAGCCAACUUUACUAUUUAUAGCAAAUUAAAUUAACCUCCUCUAAACUUUCCCAUCACUGAUUAACUGAUAUGGCACCACUCAUUUAUACGUGGACUAGGGUUUUGGCUGGUAGAAAAUACAAUGUGCACUGGAAUUAAUUAAUACUCACUUUGUUCUCCAAAUAACCUUCUAUUUUCAUUUUUAGGUCGUCCCCCAUAUAACUUUCUAUCUAUUUUGGGGCACCACCAUCAUUAAUUUGUCUCAACUUUUAGAUCCAAUUGAGAGUGAUAUGGGUUUUAAUAACGUGGUUGAGUAUAUUGUGAGUGGAAUAAGAGUCUCACAUUUAAAAUAAUUAAAGUGGAGUAAGGGUCCCACCUACUUUUAAUAAAAAUAGAAAUGAAUACAUAUGAAUAUUCAAAUAUGGAUAUAUGGACACUAAAAGAUUGGGAUGGAGAGAGUAUCUUAUUUGUUCUUAUUUUUCAUAUUUUCACCAUUUUCAAUAUUAAUUUUAAUACUUUUUCACCACUUUCAAUAUUAAUUAACACGUAUACCGCUUUUAAUACAUUUAACAACUUUGUCUUAAAACUCGUGGCACCCCCUCUUAUAAAGUUAUUUGGAGGACGAAGGGAGUAAAUUGUGACACAUCAAUUAAUUAGUGGCCAAAAAAUUAUGAAGGUUUAAUUUGCUACCGAUUGUAAAGUUAGAUUUUAACUGCAACUUUAUAGUUUGGAUCGAAGUCACAACAAUUAAUGCCCAAUUAAUGUUUGAGAUUUAAUUAGAAAUUAUCUCUUUUAUAUUAUUAUUAUUAUUAUUAUUAUUAUUAUUAUUAUUAGCGAUUGCUUGCUUUUUGUGUGAGUUAAGUAUGGGAUAAGUAUUAAUUAUGAUAUACUUAUUGUUUUGUAAUGAAAAUUUCGCCAUAUCACUAAUUUAGCAAUUGAAUGCAUUACAAACCAUAUGGGUCCAAACCAUGUGUAGAAGUAGGUAUAUAUGACUCUUCUAUACCUUGUCGUGUAAACUUCUUCUUGUUCUGAUUUGCAUCUGAAAUUUGAGAAAAUUUAUAUCGCAAUCUAAUUUAAUUCCAGCCAGGAAUCAUUAAUUAAUUAAUGCAUAUUGAUUCUUGAAGUUCAUAUGGAUGAGCUUAAAAGCAAAGCGAACGAUGAAUUUCAAUACUAGAAACAAAUUCAAAAGGAUAUAAGGGUGAAAUAAGAAAUUCUUUUUUACCCAGGUUUAAUUUAGAAAGUAAUUCCAUUUUAUACCCCCGUUUUAUUAUAUGGAACAAUUGAUCCAAACCAAGCAUAAAAGAUGUUUUUUUUUGGGUGGGGGGUGGGGGUUGGGGGGACAGUCUAAUUAAUGUUUUUUGGAAAACGUAAACUAUUGGGUACACCCAGCCGCAUAGUAUGCGACCGAUUUGAAAGUUUACAUUUCUUCACAAUAAUGUUUACUUUUAUUGUCGUAAUAAAAAGUAAUUAUUGUUACAAUGAAAUGUAAUAUUUAUAAAGUAUUACAUUUAUUCACGAUAAGUGUUACUUUUAUUCAUGAAAACUUGUACUAUUGCAUAAGUAUACAUUUGUACGAACAAAUUAAUGUAUAUCUUAUGCUUAUUAAAAGUAAUCGGUCGCAUACUAUGCGACCGGGUGCAUGCAACCAACCCUUUAGAAAAUGUGCCGAAAAAACUUUUUUUUUUCUCUAGUAUGGGUUGAUUGUCUGUAAAAGACGUUUUCAUGAAUCGGAAAUUGCACCUGAGCUUUUGUUUUUUUCCAUUAGGAUAUAUCUCUUCGUCCCAAUAAUAAUGUCUCAUUUUCGUCAAUAGGGCGUCCCAAUACAAAUGCAUCAUUCCCUUUUUGGCAAUAUAUUAUCUCUUUAUAUACCUAAUAUUUAAAUAAUUUUCACCAACCCACUUUAUCUACUUUUUACAUAUUUCUUAAUUUAUGUGUCCAAAAGCUAUGAGACACUACUAUUGGGACAGAGGGAGUACAAUCUUUCUAUUUUUUUUUCUUUUAAUUUUAAUUAGUCCAGUCGUUAUUGUCCUCAAUUUAAAUCUAACGUGAUCAUUGGAAAUGACACGCUGGAUGUUCACAAUUUAUUUACUACACUGCAAGUGUACGAUGUAGUCGCAAUAAGUAGAAGCAACAAGGUCGUAUUCUACAAAGAUUAGAGAAUUCAAACUUCUAAAUAUUAUUAAUAAGUUGUUUUCAACCUAUUUAGACAACCAAAGUUCAAGAAUUGUUGAUUAACUAGAACAAAGCUAAAUAAAACAAGCAAACAAAAUAACAACAAAAUAAUCUUAGUUAAUAAAUUGGGGAGUGAUUCGAAGGAAAGUUAUCCUAAGGGACUAGAUUUCGAGGGAACGUAAUGAACUUCAAUCUAUAUUAACUAACUCUUGAAUUAACCUAACUAUCUAGGGCGAUCUCACAUCUAACUUUAGCCCCCUCACGAACGACUAAAAUGGUAAAUUACGAGUCAUAAUUGCCGUCCCUGGUUAAUUUCUAACCUAUCACUCCAAAAAGCACUAAAGAUCAACAAUGCCCCCACACAAACUUUCAACGUCCCGAUUUAUAGAGAUGAUGUGCCUUAAGCUUCUAAUCAAUGUCGAUUAUCCUCUCUCAAUUCAAAUCAAUAUAAUAGACAUGCUCAAAUGGUGAUCAAUGACCACUAUUUUAUUAGCAACAAAAAUACCGCAACUAACACGACUUAAUCGUAGUAUAAAUAGUUAAUCGAGUAUCGUAUCCUCAGGAACUGUGAAAACACUAUGAGUAAUCCUAAUAAAUUCGAAAACAAUAUCCAGGCAAUAGAAAUAUGGUGUGUAGUAAAAACUAGACUCAAAACAGACGAAAAAAAAUUAAAAGAAUAAAAUCAAAUAAUAAAGACAUUGACCCAAAAGAAUGUAUUAUUGUUAAUUAAACAUAUAUGCAUUUAACCUAUUGACUCAAUUACAAAUUUUAAACCAGUCCUAAUGAAAACAUCAUAAUCAUAUUCAUAAUCUUCUCUAACGAACAACUAUGAAAAAAGAUCUCUAUCACAUUCAAGUCCCAAGAGAAUAAAUUAACUCCAAAUAGCACACCAAGAAUAGCUUUCCAUAGUCCACCUAGCACAUUCAAGUCUCAAGGUUAAACUAUAUCAAGCAUUCAUGAAUCGGUUGAACAAUUAUCACUAGACAAUUACACAUGUGCAAACUAUAGAAAAUAUAAUUCACAAGAAACAUGCACCAUAAACCAUACAUCACAAGAUGAAGGACAAAUUAAUAUCAAUAAAUCAAAUACAUAUAUUUAACCAACUACGUACAUCCCUAGAAUCAGAAAACAAAUUAGUCAGACAUAGUAAAAGAAAACAAAAACAUAAUUAAGAAAAAAAAACAAUUGGAAAGAAUAAGUUAAAUAAAACCCCAGAAUGAAACCAAAGUGAACAGCUUGAAUCUUCAAUCUUGCAGAAAUCUAAUCCAAAUUCUAAAGACUAGAAAGCAUUAAAUUCUAAAGCUAAGAAUAUGAAAAUUUGAAGGCGGACUCCUAAAUAGGUCAACAAUGAUACUCAUUAAUUUAUAGACUCAUGGAAAAAUUUAGUCCAAAAAUUUGAAAAUACAGAAAAGAUUGAGAAAAUUGGGGCUGGGGGGGGGGGGGGAGGGGAAGAGGGANNNNNNNNNNNNNNNNNNNNNNNNNNNNNNNNNNNNNNNNNNNNNNNNNNNNNNNNNNNNNNNNNNNNNNNNUCAUAGCAUCAUUUUCUGUCUGUGUUUUUUAGUACAAAAAGGAAAAGGAAAAAGGAAAAGGAAAAGGGGGAAAUGAAAAGGAAUUCAAAUUUUUAAUAUAUAUCUGCAAUCAUUUCUAUCUCAAUAUAGGGAUGGAGAAACCCUAAAUCUAUAUAAUAUAUAAAACAUGAGUUUAACGUAAACUUUUUCCUACCAAAAUUUCUCUCUCUUCACUUUUCUUUUUUAUUUGUUUCUCUUUUAAAAAUCAUCAAUUUUGACUUAUAAAAAUAUAUUCAAUAUAGAUGUUAAAUUAAAGAUAAAGAAAAGAUCUUUAAUUUGAUAUAAGAAUUAUAAAAAUUUAUUCUAAAAUAAAUAAGUUAUUAUCGUUUAUAGUCACUAAAUAUUAUUUUUUCUCUUCUCUCUUCUCUCUCAUCUAUUCUCUCCUCUCUCCUAAAUCUAUUCUUUUGAAUGUCACGUUUAUCUUCUUUCUAUUUGACUCCUUUUUCUAUAUUAUUUUAUUUUAUUUUUAUAUUUUUAUUAGAUAUCAUUUUUAAUAUUUAUGCAACUAAAAAUAUUAAACUUAUAAUUUGUUUCAUUUUAGAACUCUUUAACUUAAUAAAUUAAUUAGUUUUAUUUAUAAAAUAAAUCUCAUCUUUUCAGUCAAAAUCAAUUAUUUGGAUGUGCAUAAGAACUUUAUUUUAAAAUUUAUAUUCAAACAAAAUGACCGUAUAAAUAUGAUUUAAAUAUUCAUUCAAAAAUAUAUUAAACUAUAUGCAAAUAAAUAGUUUUGUACAUCUUAGAAUAUUAUAUGAAUACAUAAUGAUGCUCAUUAUCAUUUACUUGCUUUUGACUAUUUGAUGAUUUAUAUAUUUAUGCACAAUAUCAAAUUAUAAAUAAUUAAUUGGUAUUUCAAAAAUAAAAAAGUUCAAAUAUUUUAAGAUUCAUGUAUUUAUUGAGAUUAUGUCGUUCAUAACUUUAAUAUUUUUGAUUGAGAUCCAUGUUUACAUUUGUUUAUAUUUAAUAUGUAUAUUUAUUUAUAUAUUUAAAAUAUCGUUUACUUUCAAUAUCGAUCGUGCAUCGCACGAGCGGGCAUACUAGUUUCAUAAAAUUGGCAAUAUAUAGAAAAGUUAUUAUAAAAAAAUAGGGUUAUGGCAAAAAAAAAUACGAACUUUGAUAAAAAAAAAAUUGUAAUUUUCACUUGAAUUUUCAAUUAUGCCAAAAAAUACAUGAAGUUAUAUUUUAAUUAGUUGUAAUUUUCACCUGAGUUUGACUUCCAACGAAAUUAAAGCUUAGUUUAUUAGUCAUAAGUUCAUAUGGAGAUUUAAGAAGACAAAAACUAAUAGUAUAUUAGACUUAAUUGUGGAACUUGAUAAAUUUCUUCCACCUGAUCACAUUGAUCAAGAUUAUGCUUCGGAAUAUGAUGAAUAAACUCUAUUAUAUAUGUUAUAGAGCCAAAUACACAUAUGCUUGUGUUAAGUAAAACUAAUUGUUAAAAUAGGACCGUAACUUUAAGUGUUUUCAGAAAGGUGACUAUAUGUUAAGAAAUUUGAAAAUGAAGAGUAUAUGUUCCAUUUUUUACAAUUACACCUAUUUCGGACCCAAAACCAAUUAUUUGGGCUUUUGGUGACACCUAAAGCCUAUUGGUGACUUGGCAUGUCCCUUUUUUGGAUUUUUGUUUUCUUUUUUUGUAUUAUCGAUUUUUUUAGCACAUUUCAAAAUUAUAUUUUUUCCAUUUUUUGAAAUUACGCCUUUUUUAAAUAUUUUUUACACUUAAUAUUCAUAACAAAACUCAUUAUUUAGCACAUCAAUUAUGUUAAAUUGUCUAAAUGAUAAUACAAAGAAAUUUGUUCAGAUAAUAUUCGUAUUUCAAUAUAGUGCCCAUCCUCUUCUUAUUUAUUUAUAUUUUAGGCUGAAUUUUGCUAAUAAAAAAAUUAAGGGUUAAUGUGCAAAUGCACCCCUAAGAUAAAGGCCCCUACAGCGUACACCCCUCCAUACUUGACAUUGGAUCAAAUAAGUCCCCAAAAUCCAAAAAUUUAAGCAAUGAAACCCAUGGGAUUAACGGCGUCAGACGUCCGUUAGUUCUCUAAUUUUUUUUUAAUUUCGAAGUGCUGCGCAAUUUCCUCCGACACCGGGCAGCGGACUGCGACACCACCCUCAUUAAAGCCCUUGUGACAGGCAUAGACCUACCCAUAUCGGAGAAGUCCCCUUACAUAAUCCACUACAUCUCCAACAACACCCACAAUUCCCGACGCAAAGUCAAUCGACGUAGAAAGCUACACCCGCACCAUCGCAUUCCAAGAGAGAAUCAAAUUGUUGGAAGACAAAAUGAAAUACUACGAAAACCUAGCAGAGAAGUACAUUGGGAGCGACGUCUCCCCCGAUUUCUACGCAUGGGUUUUCCCCAAAUGUGACCACGUGGCAGUCAGGACGGGCACGAUUUCUUCUAAGCAAAACAUCAAACAGCUUCAAAGUGCAAUCAGAAACCGAGUGAAACACAAAAUUGAAGGCGGAGAGAUCGUGAAAGUGGAAGCUCACCUAAUCCCGAAGCACUUGCGGCCAAUCAAAGUCCGCGGAUGUGGCCGGGUACGUGACGAAAUGCUUCGGCGAGGGGAUAUACUUCGUGGCGAAGAGCGGGGGAAUGUGCGGCGAGGGGAUCGUGCAGGCGUCGGAGAACAGAAUGAGGAUGAUUGGGGAGGGCGAUCUAAGAAGGAUGAUGCGAGAUGCCGAAGAUGGCGGUGGACGAAUCGGCACUAGAGAUGGUUGUUUGCUUGGAGAGGGUGAAGAGGAAGAGGAGUGGAAGGGGACACGUGGCCUUUUGCUAUUGGACUUUUGGAAAUGUGGGAUACACGUUCGAAAUUAAAAAAAAAUUAAAGAAUUAACGGACGUCUGACGUUGUUAAUCCUGUGGGUUUAAUUGCAUAAAUUUUUGGACUUCAGGGGCUUAUUUGAUCCAAUGUUGAGUAUGGAGGGGUAUACGCUCUAGGGCCUCUACCUUAGGGGUGCAUUUGCACCUUAACCCAAAAAUUAAUAAUAUAAAAAAGGAAAAAAAAUUGUCAAAAAGCUGACAUGGCACAACCAAAUCAGUAACGGGCUAGAUUUGGGUUAUAUUUGAUUAUGCCCGUAUCUCCAUUCUCUUCAAUGGUUCUCUUCUGCUGCAGUCGUGGGGUUCGUCAAGGUGAUCCGUUGUCCCAUUCUUUUCGGCAUUGUCUAGGAUGUUUUGAGCCGCCUCCUGGCCUCGGCCCUCAGCUACAUAUAUAUCGGCGAUGAACAUGUCCCGCACUAUCAGCUUUCCUUCUCACUUCCUUUAUGCGGACGACGUCCUCCUUUUCUAUAAGGCUUCCAAGAAAAGUUGCAUUAUGAUUGAUUCGGUUUUACAGAUUUAAACUACAUCAUAUUGCUGUUAACUACGGCGUCAUCGUUUUGACGUUUUUACUCUAAUUAAUCUUUUAAUUAGGGCAUUAUACUAAGGGGAAACAUAAUUAUGGAAAUAAACGAGUUGCAAAGUUCGUGAUUUAAAAUAUUAAUUUUUAAAGUUCGUGUACAAAAUGAAAAAGUGACUUAAAUUCGUGUAUUUUGGUACAAUUAACCCUAAAAGAAAUAGAAGAGGACUAUCUUGAUGGGACGAAGAGAGAAUAUAAUAUCAUAUAAUUAUUCCUCAAUUAAUAAAAUAAAAGAAUACUUUUAUUCGAGAAUGCAUGCAUCAAUGGGAUACACAUACUUAUAAAAUAAUGCCCGGAUAUACCACAUAAUCUGUCGUAAAAUUAGAGUACUUUUACAUGUAGCAAACACAUAAAACAAAUGUCUUAUAUUUAUUCCUAUAUAUAUUGAACUUAACAUAUGGCAUUUCAUAUAUGACUUCGCCACAUGGUCAGCAGUAACUUAAUGUACCUGUAAGAACUAAUUAAUCAUGAGUAAUAUACUCUCUUUUUUGAACUAAAAAGGAAAAAGAAAUUGGCGAGCAAAAUUUUGAAAGAUGUCCUAACUUUUCAGCAUUCCUAUAAAACUGUGUGCCAAACCAUUGUACUAAUAUUUAAGGUUGUGAAAAAGAAGAAGAAAUAUGUUAAAUGAGUGUAGACAAAUAUUUGGAAUCAUGUCUUGAACAGUGAGGCUGCUGACAUUCGCAUCCCACCACUCAAAAAUCAAAAUACAGAAGAAAAAUGGAUGUAUACAUGAUUAAUGGGUAUGUGAGUGCAAGCAUUCAAUGUUUUUAUGUGCUACUCUUUUAUAUAGAGAUGGAUAUAAAGCAAUUCCCCAAUCUUGUUUCUCAAUUGUACUUAAAAUUCCAAAAUAGGAAUUCAGUUCAGUUACUUCAAUAUAAAUUAGCACGCGGAAUUCCACCUAAUUUUGAUUCGCCAAAAUGAUCGUGUUCAUACUUCACGUAUCGUAUAUUGCGACACGUGGCCUAUCUGAAACUGCAAAAACUUUUGCCUUCUCAUCACAUCUAUACUAUAUGUAUUAAUUCACACCCUCCCUUCCACUUCAAAUUUCGUACUUAUUUCUUUUCGGCACGAUAAUUUUAAAAAAAAUAAUUAAAUUAUUAAAUUUGUAAUGUAGAGUUGAAAAUAUGAUGUGAGCCUUAAAAAAUCUCAUUUUUUGGAAUUGAAUUUUUCCAUAAAGGUAAACAGGACAUUUGAAAUGUGACAACCCAAAAAAAAAAAAAACACUUGAAAUGGAACGAAGAGAAUAUUAAAAACGAAUAUUCAAAUUUCAAAAUUAAUUUUAAAUCGAUUUGACGAUAGCUUUCUCAAAUGAGUUUAAAACUUUUUGGCCUAAUAUAUCGUGUGGAUUGCAAAAAUAGAUCAUUUUUUGAAUUUGUAAAAAUAGGCAAAAUAUCUUAAAUUUUGAUAUGUUUGAGCCACAUUUGACUCCAAUUCGGCAUCCACAGGUCAUAUUUUGAGCUAUAUUUGGACUCAAAUGUUGCUCAAAAUAGCUUGAUAGACUCAAAUAGUUAAAUGUGGCUCACACACGUCGAAAUUUUGAAUAAUUGACCUAUUUUUAUAAGUUCAAAAAAAUUGACAUAUUUUUACAAACCGCUUUAAAAUAAUAACCUAAAAAAAUAAAUUCCUUUACAAAUUAAGAAAAGGUGAAAUGUCACAAUUUGGGCUCAAUUUAAUUUAAUAUAUACAUAUAUAACUGCUUCACUAUUCAGUGUGAACAUGAGUUAACGUGUACAUCGCUGUUGUGAUAAUGUAGGACAUGAGAGUCGUUCAAAUCUAUCAUUUUAUACAGAACCGAUCACCUACCCACCGUAGGCAGAUAUAAUGUGCCCACCACUGAUGUGGCAAUCUUAAUUAGAGUAAAAAUUUUUAAUUAGAGUAAGAUAUGUUGAUUCUCUUUUCAAAUUUAAAUUUUCACAUUUGUGCAUGGUGGGCAUAUUAUGUCUGCCCACGGUAAGUAGGUGAUCGAUUGUGUCAUUUUAUAAAUUACUAGUGUUGUUUUACUACCAUAAAUAAAUAAUUUCUUAACAAGGAGUAGAUAUUACGCUAACAAAACAUAUCCUCCACUUUUCUUAACAAUUUCUUACGCCACAUAUAUGAUUUGUGUGUUUUUUUUAACCUUUCUUUUAUUUUUCUCGUUUUCUUUGAAUUAUUACUGAUUAUAAAUAUCAAUUUUAUUAUUUCAUUAAGCUAAAUAUUAUAUUUAAUUAAAUUAAAUAUGUCUUUGAAACUAAUAUAUAUAUAUAUAGGGAGAGGUUCAAGAAAGAACCAUAAAUAAAAAAAGAACGGAGAACCAUUUUCAGCCAUUCGAUUAUCAAGAUCUACGGUGGAUGUAUCAUCUUGUUGGAUGAAUGCAGAUCCUGGGUUCGAAUCCUGAAGGAAGCAAUUUUUUUUUUUUUGGAGUGCAUUAAUUUUAACAGCGAAUGCAUCAAUUUUUACAGUGAAUGCAUUAGAUUUGAUCACUACAAAAAAAUGCGUUUUUGCCGGCGAAAACUACCGGCGGCUAUUUUGCCGUCGGUAGCUAACGGCGGCGGCAGUCCAGGCGACCCGAACUUUCGAAUUUACCGGCCAUCUACCCGACGGCAAUUCCCGCCGUUAGCUAGCGGCGGCGCCGCCGCCGUUAAUAUUAAAAUACGCAUUAAAUAAUUUAUUUUAUAGAAUUAACGGCGGCAAAGUUGCCGCCGCUAGCUAGCGGCGGCAUUUGCCGUCGGUAACCGUUUAAAUAUAGGGCAGCGGGUUCCUUCUUUUUUCAGUUUCUGCGCCGCACACACACGAAAAUCCACCCCCCCUCCCUGCCUGCUGCUGCUUCGCCGCCGCCGCCGACCGCCGCCACCCUAGGCAGGUAUCUCUCUCUCUCUCUCUCUCUCUCGUAUAUCUAUAUAUAUAUAUAUAUAUAUAUCAUUUUAAAAUAAAAUUAUUAUAUCUCAUUUUAAUUAUAUAUAUAUAAUUAUUUAAUUUUCACUUAUAUUCUUAAUUUAUUGUAGUUCGACGACCUCGUUUCGCUGCCUUCUUCACGACACCCGCCGAAAAACCACCAUCGUACGCUUUCUCUUAUUUAUUUAUUUAAUUAUUUAUGAAUUUAUUUAUGUAUUUAUAUGUUAAUUAAAUAGAUUUAUUUGUUAUAUCUAGUUAAUUAAUUUAUAAUUGGCUUUGUUUAUAAAUAAAUUAUAUGAAGCAUGAUUAAUUUUAAAUUAUAUUAAUUGAAGCAUGAUUAUUUUUAAUUAUAUUAGUUUAAGUUGUUAGUUUAAGUUGUUUGUUAGAAUAAUUUAUAUAUGUUGGAUAAUUUUGUUAAAUUAAAUGUUAUGUGCUAUGUGUUUAUGAAAUGUUAUGUUAUUAUAUAUAUUGUGGGAUAGAUUUAAUCAAUUUCUUAAGGAUCUUCUCCCUUUGGGAUAGAAAUUGAUUAUUUCUUAAGGAUCUUCUCCCAACAAAUGAUUGUUUUUAAUUUAAUUACCCUGAUUUUUAUUGCUUUUAUUUGUAUUGUAUUAUUGCUUCGACAUUGGGGGGCCGGGUAGACCUAGUAUAGGCUUAGUAAAUUAGGACCACUAUGGUCACUAUAGCUGCUGGUAGAGUCGAGCACUUGGUAGUUAGGAUAGUGGGGUUAUGCUGUCGAAAUUUUGUUAGAUUUCAAGUAAUUUAUUAUAUUUUUAUUUGUUUUUUUCAAUUUAGAAUUUGCAGAAUGAGUGAUAAUCGUAUGUGGAUGUACGCGAGAUNGGGUGAGAUCUUGAAGUAUUCACUCCCCUGAUAAUAUAUAGGUCUAAAUUUGGACCACACAAUGUGGCCACAUGGCUCACUAGGAGCGCGACACGUGGCAGAUGUCUUUCAAGACCUUCCAAAGUCUUCCUAGGCAAAAAAACACGGAGGGGUAAAAUAGUACUCCCUCCGUCCGCCAAGAUUAUGUCAGUUUCCUUUUAUGGCAAUGGUCCCACCAUCCUCUUUAAUAUUUUAUCCUUACUAACACUCUUUAUUUACAAAAAAACCACUCACAAUUCAAUCUCAACCACUCAUCUCAUAAAGUGGUGGGACCCUUUCUCCACUACAUCAAAAUCAUCACCAAUUUUAUUAAAUCAUGUGCCCAAGCAAAUUGCCAUAAUCUUGGCGGACGGAGGGAGUAAUUUUUAGAAAUUAUAAAAAAAAGUUUAUAUAUAUAUAUAUAUAUAUUUACCGAAAUUCAUUUUUUCCAUGGUCGUCUUCAAAAUUAUGCAUAUAAUUGAACACCAAUAUGCAUAAAGGUAAAUACAAAUAUUGCUGGGAACCCCAUGGAAUAUCAGGUUUUAUUUUGAUGAUACCAAAAUCCUUAGGUUUAAUUUGUAACAGACUAGAACUGUUUUGAACUCAAGUGUUAGAGUUCGUUUCUAGUUUAGGGUUUAGGGUUUAGGUUUAGUGUUAAAGUGUUAGACUAGAACUGUAUUGAAGGACCGAAGACUGAAGAUACCAACUGAAGUAUCAGUUGAAGAAUCAGUUCAGAAACUGAUUACUUAAUGCGUGCUUCGAGGACUCAGCAGACUGAUACUAAAGUCAAGUAUCAGUUAAACAUUCCUCCUCAGACUGAACUUUCAACGUUCAAAGGAAGCCACGUGCUUACACAGUACAACCGCAUUAAAUGCAGAGAUCUCAGGAUCAUCCCUCUCUGCAGAGGUCAUUCCUAUUUGGUGGCUACUUUAUCAGAGACGUCACAUCUCCUGUCCCUCAAGAGAGCCGUUUCCACCAAACAAGGAACCUCGAAGAUUGAAGCCUCAGCCCAAAUUCGAAUUGCUCUCCAACGGAAGAAAUCUUGAAGACGUUCUCCGCCAACGGAUCUAUUCAAGACCUCUCCAAUAAAUAGCGCUCGAGGAUCAACUUCAAUCUUCACCGAUUCAACGACCUAAGCUGAAGCUCUGCCGAAAUUGUUACUCAGCCCAAAGCUUAAUCUCCCCAAAGCUUGAAUCGAAGAAGAGAAUUCCAAAGCCAAAAUCAGUCACUACUGAUUACACACAUUCUCUUAGACCUUAGGCAUAUAUCUGUUUACCCAGAAGCCCAGGUCAAAACUUGCUCCAAAGAACUUGUUCUUUGAAGUCUAGUUGGCAAGUUUUUCAAACCUCCUUUCGUAAGAAAGAAACCGAGUGUUUGAGUGAAAAGGAGUUCAGGAAGGUACUCUGACUCCGUGAGAUCCUAGUGCAAGGUCGUGCUAGGAGUGAGAAAUCCGACGCGAGUGAAGCGUGGGUACUGAAGUAAGGUCUCUUCAGUGAAACGGUUGUGUGCACCCGGUAAGCACACGGUUCGGUUUGCAGUGCACCAGUUAAGCACUUGCGGAGUGGAUUGUUGGUCUGAUCAACCGACCGUGGAUGUAGGAAAAGGUUUUCCGAACCACGUAAAACUCUCUGUGUUAUUUACAGCUUUCAGUCUUUCCAUUCUUAUCUGUGUUCUUACUGUUGAUAAACUGAAUACUGAAUAACCGCAAAGAGAAACCUAAGACUAACAACGUGCUCAACCGAGGCUAUUCCGAAACAAGUUUAUUUCCGCUGCGUAUGAUAUCAGUCUGACUGAUCUAUCUUCUGAUAGUCAGGAAGAUUUAUAUCAUCUCUGUUUUAGCAAACUCGACUGAAGCCCUUACGUGCAUCAGUUAAGUUCCAGUGACUUAACUGAUAACUCAUUACUGAAGAGUUUUCAGUAUCAGUCGUCAACCCUGUUUGGUCAAAACUCUUUUCAGUCAACAGGUGUCAUAGUUUGCUUGUAAAGUUUCGUUUUGAUCUCAUUCUUGAGAUCCCUCUGCUUUUAGAGGAAAUCGAGAAAAAUAGCCCAUAGGUGUAUCCCCCCCCCAUACACCUAUUCGAGACCCUCCGGACCUAACAAAUAUGCAUGAAGCUGGAUAGAAAGAUGCACGGCCGUUUGAUGCAUCUCGAUGUCGAAUAAUGUUAUGCAUAUUUGUGUGUAACGUUAUGCAUAUUUAUGUUUUCCUUUAUGCAUAUUCGUGUUAAACUAUAUGCAUAGUACUAUGCGACACCGUCAGGUAGCUCUCACUGUUGGUCACUUGACGGAUCAUACUGAUAUUUUCUCAUGCAUAUUUCUAUCAAAUGUUAUGCAUAUUAGAGUUUAUGUUUAUGCAUAUUGUGUUUCAAUUAUAUACAUAAUUUUGACGAUGAUCGCGGAAAAAAAAUGAAUUUUCGGCGUAAAAAAAUAAAAAAUAUAUACUCCCUCCGUUCACGAUAUCGUUUCCACAUUGUGGACGACGCGAGUUUUAAGAAAAAUGAUGGAUGUAGUAGAUAAUAGUGGAUAUUGUAGUGAGUGGAGUUUGAGCCCCACAAUAAAGGCAUAUUUUAAUGAAAAUAUAAGGUUAAGAGAAUAAAUUGCAUAUGUGGGCUUACAACAAUAAAUGGAAGUGGAAACGAUAUCGCGGACUGAGGGAGUAUAUAUAUAUUUUUUAAAAUUUUAAAUUUUUAUUCCUAUUUUAUCCCUAUGUGUAUUUUACCUUAAAAGUCAUUGGAAGGCAUCCGCCACGUGUAACUCUCCUAGUGCAUCACAUACACAUCUUAUAUAUAUAUGGACCAUAUUUAGGAUCUAUAUACUAUAUGAAAAGUAUAUAUGUAUAUAUACUAAUAUUGCAUAAAAUCACAGUGGGAUCCAAAUUGAAAUUAAUAAAAGUUAAUUUAGGAUAUUGAUGAGGAGUAAUAUAUGCGGAACAGAGGAAUGACUUUACCAGGGGAAUCACGGGGAGCAGCGAGAUAGCUUUCGCCAGAGGAAUCACACUCGCCAGAGGAAUCACACUCGCCAGAGGAAUCACACUCGUCAGAGGAAUCACACUCGCCAGAGGAAUCACACUCGCCAGAGGAAUCACACUCGUCAGAGGAAUCACACUCGCCAGAGGAAUCAUACUCGCCAGAGGAAUCAUACUCGCCAGAGGAAUCAUACUUGCCAGAGGAAUAAUACUUAAUCAGAGGAAAGGUCCUUGCCAGAGGGAAGGCUUGCGCCAGAGGAAUCGUCCACCUCACCAGUGAAUCUACCUUUUUGCCCCUGACCACGCGGAGUGCAUGUUCUUAGAUAGGAGUUUACUAUUUUGCCCCCGUCCAUGCGAUGAGCGUGUUCAGGGAGCGAAAUUACUUUCUUAUCCUUAGCUUGUAUUCCUCUAUAAAUACUCGUGCAUACACACGUUGUAGGAGGAUCUCAUGAUUCAUUCAUCUCUUGUAAAAUGUAAUUCUCUCGAAGUAUAGUGAAAAAAAACCCCAACACCCCGUGGACGUAGGUCUUCUCGACCGAACCACGUAAAUUCGGUGUCGUUUACUGCUUUCUAGUUUAGGUGUAGGUUUCAUGUUUGACCAAAUACAUAGAAAUUAAACAAAAUUGAAAAUUUACAUUAUAUAAUACAAAAAAAUAGGAAUUAAAAAAACAAAAGAGUUUCAUAUCAUACAGUUUAUAUUAUAAGACGGUACAACAUAAAUAUAAUGAUAUACAUAUAAUNCUCGCCAGAGGAGUCAGCAAAAUCCUCGCCAGAGGAGUCAGCGAAAUCCCCGCCAGAGGAGUCAGCGAAGUCCUCACCAGAGGAAUCACACUCGUCAGAGGAAUCCAUACCUCGCCAGAGGAAUCACACUCGCCAGAGGAAUCACACUCGUCAGAGGAAUCAUACUCGCCAGAGGAAUCAUACUGCCAGAGGAAUAAUACUAAUCAGAGGAAGGUCCUUGCCAGAGGGAAGGCUUGCGCCAGAGGAAUCGUCCACCUCACCAGUGAAUCUACCUUUUUGCCCCUGACCACGCGGAGUGCAUGUUCUUAGAUAGGAGUUUACUAUUUUGCCCCCGUCCAUGCGAGGAGCGUGUUCAGGGAGCGAAAUUACUUUCUUAUCCUUAGCUUGUAUUCCUCUAUAAAUACUCGUGCAUACACACGUUGUAGGGGGAUCUGAUUAUUCAUUCAUCUCUUGUAAAAUGUAAUUAUCUCGAAGUAUAGUGGAAGAACUCGAAGAACACCCGUGGAUGUAGGUCUUAACGACCGAACCACGUAAAUCCUGUCUCGAUUACUGCUUUUUAGAUUAGGCGUUGAUUUCAUGCUUCACCAGAUAUUAACUAAUUUAAUAAAAUAAAAUGAAUACUAAAAUUAUUUCAUAUUGUUGUUACUUCAUAUAUGAAUACUAAUUUAAUAUAUUUAUAUAGACAUAUAAAUAUAUAUUUAUUAGAAUAUUGUCAUUGAUUCGUAUAAAAUAAUAUAGUGUAUAUACAUAUAUAUAUAGGGUCUUUACAAACGUGGGCCAUUCAGGGUAGAUGUCCUCACACAAGUAGUAGCCUAUCUGAUAAUAGUGUUGGUUCACUUCAAACGUCACCGGUGAUGAUGUUUCUUCCAAGAUGUCGGCGAACAGAGGCGAUUGGUUGAAAAUGUUUAUAUCGUUGUUUGAUCCGAAAACAACGAAGAAGGCAUGCCAAAUCCACAAAUCAUGGAAGGCAACAACCUCUAGAAUCAAGGUGGACUCUCCUUGAUCACCUCGUGUAAAUGCACCAUGCCACGCAUUUGGGCAAUUCUGCCAAGCCCAAUGCAUGCAAUCCAGACUCCCGAGCAUCCCUGAAAAUCCAUGUCGUGUCUUGUGCAUUUGAAGCAGUCGUGUGACGUCCGCUGGUGUAGGGUGUUGAAGAUACUCAGCACUGUAUGCUCGAAUGAUAGCUUUGCAAAAUUUCUUGUGGCAUAGCUGCCGCGUAGUGUUCGCAAUCUGGAAAUACUUGUCAAAAGUAUCCACAAAAACACUGGUAGCUAAUUGUAGAAUAGUCACCGUAUAUUUCUACAAUGGCGUAAGCGGGUCCCGUCUCAUACCAUCCACCCUCAUUCUCUUAUUUAUUUUGAGAAAAAAAAUUGUACACGUAUGAUUUGAAUUUUUAUUUUUCCUCUUUAGUUAGAUUGUUGAUAAUGAUUAAUGAAUUUUGAAGCUUUCAUCCCAUUAAAAAUAAUAAGUAAAACAAGUGAUCAAUAAUUGUCAUUCAAAUAAUGUAUCUCGAUUUGAUGAACCAUGAUCAUGAUGUAAGAAAAGGUGUGAAUUAAGAAUGAAAAGACAAUGAAUAUAUAUUGUUGUAAAUUAUGAAGUGGAUGUUACAUGAAUAUAUAGGGUUCAAGUAUGCAUGGCAUGAUCUGGACCAUCUCCCACUCUAAAUAUAAGGGGGACAUGACUUUUCCCCCACCCCCGCUUUUUAGUACAAAAUUCAUGUGCAAAUCCAAUCCUUAAAUUAAUAUUCCACUGCUUCUUCUUUAUUGCGUACUUUUAUAUUUAGUAUAGUAUUAUUUAUUAAAGGGAGAGGUAGCAAAUAUCAUAUCAUAUAAUUUAUUAAUAUAUUUAUCUUUUUAUUUUGAGCUGUCAGUCUCUCAAUAUUUCAUAAGGAAUGUAAAAUUUCACUUAUUCCUUAAGUAGGUCCCACGCUGUGUAAAGUGCCAAUUGAGAGAUAAGAAGAGCAAAAUAUGAAAUAUUUUAUAUAUAACCGAUGAUUGAAUCUACAAAAUAACACAUAUAAAUCUUAAAAAUAUCAAUGCUCAAAUUAUUAGCAUCCAUAUUAAUUAAAUGCACGUAGAACUAAAAGAAGCAAUUAAAAACGAAGAACGAAACUUGGCUGCUUCUACAAAGUUUGAGACAAUAUUUUUGGGAUUAUAUCAAAUAAAAUGAAAAUUCAUUAAAAAUUAAUACCAAAUAAUGGAAGUUCAUUCUUACAUUGAUAAAUAGAGUGGGACUCGUUUGAGAAAUAGAAAAAAAAAAUGAAAAAUAUUGGACGAAGUUAAGUGUUCAUCAAGAAUAGGGGGGAUUUUGCACUCCUUACGAGAUGUUAAGGGGCUAACAGCCCAAAAUCAAGAGAUUAAACUAAAUAUGUUAGGGGUUAUAUGAUAGGGGACUAUUUACUGCUUUCCCAUUUAUUAAAAAAUUGACUAAUUCGUGGAACAUAUAAUAAGACUUAUGCUGCAAUGAGUACUACGUGAAACAUAAAUUAUCACACGAACAUAAAUAAAUAGAUAUAGAAAAAAUGAUCGGUGGUAAAAUACAAUGCAUUUUUGUGUACAAUGUUAUGCAUUUUUGUGUGCAAUGUCAUGCAGUGCAAACUCAUGCAUCUAAAACAUGUCAGCUUCCAAAAAUCUAAAAAGAAUAAUAUCUGAGACUCGACUUUUCGAAUCUGGAACCUGCGCCUGGCCUGGUCUGCCAGUAAUAAAAUAUUUUUUUUUAAUAUUCAGAAUUUUAAUUCUGAUUUUACCCAUGCACGGAUGUUGGCUUGGAAGCCAUCUACCACAUGUGACGAUCUCGGUGCGCCACAUAAACAAAAUGUGUGCUCUAGAAUCUAGAAUUGAUACUGUAUACUACUUAAGUCUUGGGUAUUACAUGAUCUUGUUCCUAUAUAUAUAUAUAUGGGAAGAAGAUCAAGUGAAAAUGGACAAAUGUGAUUAGAAAUGAGAAUGAAUAUGUAACGUUGGAUUUUCAAAUCCCAUGACUGAUAUUUACCUAGAUGGACAAAAAUUUACCUAGUUCAAUCUUGGAGGAGCAAAAUUUAUUAAUUAAUUGAAUAUGUUAUUCUCAUUACAACAGCUUAUGCAACACUAUAUUUUGACUUGAAUCAUUCUACUUCUCGAGAAAGCAAUUAUGUAGUGUUGAACAUAAGUAUUGUGUUAAUAACAUUUAUUGACUUAUUCGUUAAUCUCAUUUCACACUAUUAAUUUGAACGAAUAUCAGACGUAAGAUUUAAAUAUGUAAUUUUCCAAAUUCAUUCUCAUUUUCUACUAUAUAAUUGGUUAUGAGUUGGCCAAUAGUUAACCAAUUUUUGAGUGUUGAAGAUAUUUAAUUAGUGAAACUAAAUAGCAUAGGAUCGAUCUACGUUUUGAAUAGAUGAACAUACUAUAUUUAUUUACUCAAAAUCGAUUUUCGGUGAGUGAGAAAUAACUAAUUGAAGUUGGAUAUUUGAAAUAUAGAGUUGUGGGAAAAUGAUAAGAAUUAAAGAGAUAUUAAUGUUUAUCCCACAUUCAUUUGUGAGGAAUAAUUAAUCUAGGAUAUAAGUUAUUACAUCAGUAGUACAUGUAAUAAAACUGUGUGCACAUGUGAUGAGCUGCAAAGCCCACACGCCGCCGCCGCUACACUCGCCCGGCCCCUGGCCGUGGACUUGGAUCUUGGUCUUUGGGCCAGACCUUAGCCCCCAAUGGACUUGUUCUUUAAUUUGGACCACGUUGGUCUCGCGUUAGGUUAUUUUGGACCACCGAGGGAGUUACAUGGCUAAAUUCAAACAACAUUUUUAGCUGCACUUGAAUUCACCCUUAAUGGGAGUAAUGGCUACCGGCUCCCCAAUAGGCGGGAUGUGCCUAUAAAUAGGAUAGCCACUCCAUGCAUCGACACACGAGAAAUUCUGCAUAACAAGCACUAUCUGCACUCCUGCAUUCAUAUAGUCCAGAUCUAGAGCCCUAUUAUUGCCUCGUCUCAAUUCGUUGGAGCUCGUUGGUUUAUGGUGCUACUAUCCUCGAGACGAAGCUAUUUCAUCUUUAGAGACGACACGCCAAACUAUAAACACUAUUGGGGCGUAUCUCGUCUUACGGACAUGAUCCUCCUCGAUCAAUUCGGCUAUCUAGUUUUAGGGUUCUUUAUUUUGUAAUCUCUAUUCCGUUUGUUUCAUUGUAAUUCUGAUCUUCUAUAUUUCCCGUUUCAUUUGUAAUCGUCAGCAAGCUCUAUUUUCAAAACACACACACACACAUAUAUAUAGUUAUAUAUAUAAUUCUCACUAAAAAAAAUCUCACUGUAAUAACAUUGUCAGUGAAUCCUUUUUAUAUAGAUGUAUUUUGAAUUGUGAAGAUAUGGAAAUAAUGGAAUGUGACAUAUUUUGGCUGCUAUAACACCGCCACAACCACCACUAUUUCCUAAUUCUAAUACAGACAUAUGAAUUUAUUACAGGUACCAGACCACCAAACAUAAUGCUACGCUGUUGCUCAUACAUUCUGCAACAAUUAUCAAAAUCUGUUAUUUUCUUAUCUUGCGUACGUAUCGAAUCUAUAACAACAGAUUCUGCUUCAUCUUUCAACCCAACAAAAUAAUUCAGAGAUUCUGAUUGGCUGGAAGCUUGAAUUAUUACUGAAGAAAUCUAAAUAGAAAAUAUAUAGUUAUCUUCUGUCGUGAGCAUUUUUUUCUAGAAAAGCGUGAUUUGG